UCCGCUACACCCAUUUUGUGUACGUGUUGAUGCUUCACCGCCCAACAUUCUGUGCCAUACAACAUCGCUGGCCUUAUUGCCGUCCUAUAAAAUUUUCCCUUGAGCUUCAGUGGCCUACGACGGUCACACAGCACGCUGGAUGCACUCUUACACUUCAUCCAUCCAGCUCGUAUUCUAUGGUUGAGAUCUCCAUCUAAUUCUCCGUUCUCUUGCAAGAUAGAUCCUAGGUAGCGAAAACGGUCGCUUUUUGUGAUCUUCGCUAGAUUGGUCCGGUUAUUAGUGUGGAUAAGUAUAUAAAUGGAUAGAGAUAGGAAAGCAAACACAAGAUGUACGUGGUUCACCCAGAUUGGCUACGUCCACGGAAUAGAAGAGUUCUCAUUAAUUGUGAAGGGUUUACACAAGUACAUAGGUUCAAGCUCUCCUUUAGUGAGUAUAAGUGAAUGAUUUAGUACAAAUGACAUUAGGAAAUAUUGUGGGAGAAUGAUCUCGUAAUCACGAAACUUCUAAGUAUCGGAGUGUGGUGUCGUCUUGACUUGCCUUAUCUGUCUCAUAGGUAGAUGUGGCAUCUUCUCUGGAAGUACUCUUCCUCCAUCCAGGGGUGGUAUCUUUAACUGGUGGAGAUGCACAAGGUAAUGUAUCAAUUUCACUUGAAGCUUACUUGUAGUUUCAAGCUUGGUCAAGCGCGAUACAAACCAUGUAGUAGGAGUCCCCCAAGUCGCCGAGCUAGGGGGUCUGCUGAAAGAGGUGACAGACAAGGUAAGCAAUCAGAGCUCCGACUGAUUGUUCACCUUCUCCCCAUCUUGCAGCAGCAUGAAGGAUAAAGAGAAGAAAAAUGAGAAGAGAUGAUAUGAGAUACUUUUGCUUUUGAAGAAGUAACUUUCCACAUGCUUAUUCUUGAACUGAGCUGGAGGGUUUUCUGGUUUCCUCCAGAGUAUAAGGCCGACUGAAGAAUUUGAGGGUCAAAACAAGUCCAUCAAAUCUAGAGUACGUUCCACCCUGCUGAUAUGGGAUACUUUUGCUUUUGACAGAGUAAUGGAUGUAUCGGCACGUGUGCUGUUACGCUUGUCUCCACAUGCUUCCUUGUAUCCUUCGCACUUGCCCUAUCUGUUCCUCAAGCAGAUACGGAAUCUUCCCUGGAAACAUAAGAUGUUGAAGAUGAGUACUCGAGAGCAAUGCCAGGUAAGUAAUCAGGUAAGGGGUUCCAGGCAGUCAGUUCCUGGCUGGAAGCUUGAUUCCAAGUGCUGACUGAUUGCUCUCUUUCUCCUUGUCUUGCAGGUAAAAACAAGGCCAAAGGAAAAGACAGGGAAAAAGCAUGAUAUGGGAUACUCUUGCUUUUAAACCCUGAUGAUAUGAGAUAUUCUUGCUCUAGUAUAGCUUGUUUGCAGAGGUAUUAUCGGGGGGAAAGAAAGCUGAAUAUUUCGAAAGGCUUCGUUGGGAGUGCCCUCUCAGAUAUGAUGAAGGGUUGAGCAUUUUUGCAGGUCUGCCUGUCCGUUGGGGGAUGGAGGUCGACAUAUAUAGGAGUCUCCCUAACAAACAAGUAGUAAUGCUAUUCAUUUACCCUGCUUGGUCAUAGCACGGUAGUGGGAGCUGCCAGUUUCACAUGUUUUAACUCUGUCAGAGCACUUUGAAAAAGUGGUCCUGUGGUAUCUGGCUCUCGAGAUUCGGAGAACGAUGUCUCUUCGAUUUUUGAGAAAGCAAUCAUGUUGGGGGGUCUGGCUCUCGAGAUUCGGAGAGCAGUGUUCUCUUCGAUUUUUGAGGAAGUAAUCAUGUUGGGAGUCUGGCUCUCGAGAUUCGGAGGGCGGUGCCUCUUCGAUUUUGGAGCAAGCAAUCAUGUUGGGAGUGUUGUCUCGAAUGUGAGUAAAGGUUGGGCAUGUUUGCUAGUCUACCUUGCCCCGAAGCACAAAAGGUUGACACACAGGGACUUUCCAAUUAUCUAGCAAUGGUACUGUUCCUUUACCCUCUCUUCGCUUUUGAGAAAGUAGUCAUGUUAGGAGUCUGGCUUUCGAGAUUCGGAGGACGGUGCCUCUUCGAUUUUGGAGCAAGCAAUCUUGUUGGGAGUGUUUUCUCGAAUGUGAGUAAAGGUUGGGCAUGUUUGCUAGUCUACCUUGCCACGAAGCACAGAGGUUGACACACAGGAACUUUCCAAUUAUCCAGCAAUGGUACUGUUCCUUUACCCUUGUGGGUAAUAAUAUGGUAGCUAGACCUUCAAAAUUUAUGUGUCUAAACUUUGUUAGUGCUGUUUCUUUGCUAUUCUUUUACCUUUCUUGGUCAGAGCGAUGUAGUGGGAGCUGCAAGCUUCACGUGCUCAACUUUGGCAGAGAACUUUGGCAAAGUUAUCUGUGGUACCCAUGAGCUAUUGUUGCGUGUGGGAAGUGGGUGAUUGAACAGUAAGAUUCAUGUGCUUUCUACUUCACCAGAAGUCUUCGACAGAAUGCCCAUAAUUUCUGCAAAGCUGAGUGUGCGUGUGACAGGUGCUGACAAGGCUAGAAUAGUAGGUGCCUCUUCGAUUUCUGAGAUCGGCCCUCGUGGUCUCUGGGGAGCCCAGCUUUUGAGAAAGCGAGCGCCUCUUCGAUUUCUGAGAUCGGCCUUCGUGGUCUUUGAGCAGCCCAACUUUUGAGAAAGCAAACGCCUCUUCGAUUUCUGAGAUCAACCCUCGUGAUCUCUAAGCAGCCCAGCUUUUGAGAAAGCAAACGCCUCUUCAAUUUCUGAGCAGGCGCCUCUUCGAUUUCUGAAGCUCCGUCGAAUGCAGAUUUUUAUAGGGGCUGGCAUUAAGUUCCAAAGCACACUUGAAUCUCCACCAGUAGAAGCUUCAUUCUUGCACUUCUAAGAUCUUGAUUUGUCCGACCUCUUCUCUCUUCAACACCUUUGAAAAUGUCUGGCCCCUCCGACCGUCGUUUUGACUUGAACCUUGUUGAAGAGGCAGCCCCGCCUUCUCCAGACAACAUAUGGCGCCCAUCCUUCGUCUCCCCUACUGGUUCUCUUACCGUUGGGGAUUCCGUGAUGAAGAAUGAUAUGACCGCUGCGGUGGUGGCCAGGAACCUUCUCACUCCCAAAGAUAACAGACUACUUUCCAAACGGUCUGAUGAGUUAGCUGUUAAGGAUUCGCUGGCUCUCAGUGUUCAGUGUGCAGGUUCUGUGUCUAAUAUGGCCCAACGCCUAUUUGCUCGAACCCGCCAAGUUGAAUCAUUGGCGGCUGAAGUGAUGAGUCUCAAACAGGAGAUUAGAGGGCUCAAGCAUGAGAAUAAACAGUUGCACCGGCUCGCACAUGACUAUGCUACAAACAUGAAGAGGAAGCUUGACCAGAUGAAGGAAACUGAUGGUCAGGUUUUACUUGAUCAUCAGAGAUUUGUGGGUUUGUUCCAAAGGCAUUUUAUUGCCUUCAUCUUCUGGGGCUGUACCGCGUAAUGAAGCUCCGAAUGAUCAACCUCUGAUGCCUCCUCCUUCUAGAGUUCUGUCCAGUACUGAGGCUCCAAAUGAUCCCCCUCCGGUGCCUUCUCUUUCUGGGGCUCUACUGACUGCUGAGACUUCUCCUAAGCAACCUUUGUGAAGGCUCCCUCUUGUGUGUUUAUUUUGACUCAUGUAUAUGUACAUAUUUGUAGCUUAUCGGGGAUAUCAAUAAAUAAGCUUUCCUUCAUUUCAACGUAUUGUUAAAUACACCAAAGCCUUCUUCGCUAAGUUCUUUGAAUUUUCUUUUGUUGAAGCUUGUAUGUUGAAGCUUUCUGAGCGGAGCAUGUAGGUUGGGGUAGUGUUCCCUUAACUUCCUGAGUGAGGAAAACUUCUCGGUUGGAGACUUGGAAAAUCCAAGUCACUGAGUGGGAUCGGCUAUAUGAAUCUUAGAACGCCAUUGUGCUCGAUCCUGAGUCAUGUCCUUCGUUAGAUCCAAGUACUCUAAGUCUUUUCUUAGAGUCUCUUCCAAAGUUUUCCUAGGUCUUCCUCUACCCCUUCGGCCCUGAACCUCUGUCCCAUAGUCGCAUCUUCUAAUCGGAGCGUCAGUAGGCCUUCUUUGCACAUGUCCAAACCACCGUAACCGAUUUUCUCUCAUCUUUCCUUCAAUUUCGGCUACUCCUACUUUUACCCCGGAUAUCCUCAUUCCUAAUCUUUAUCCUUUCUCGUGUGCCCACACAUCCAACGAAGCAUCCUCAUCUCCGCUACACCCAUUUUGUGUACGUGUUGAUGUUUCACCGCCCAACAUUCUGUGCCAUACAGCAUCGCCGGCCUUAUUGCCGUCCUAUAAAAUUUUCCCUUGAGUUUCAGUGGCAUACGGCGGUCACACAACACGCCGGAUGCACUCUUCCACUUCAUCCAUCCAGCUUGUAUUCUGUGGUUGAGAUCUCCAUCUAAUUCUCCGUUCUUUUGCAAGAUAGAUCCUAGGUAACGAAAACGGUCGCUCUUUGGUAUUUCUUGAUCUCCGAUCCUCACCCCUAACUCGUUUUGGCCUCCAUUUGCACUGAACUUGCACUCCAUAUAUUCUGUCUUUGAUCGGCUUAGGCGAAGACCUUUAGAUUCCAACACUUCUCUCCAAAGGUUAAGCUUUGCAUUUACCCCUUCCUGAGUUUCAUCUAUCAACACUAUAUCGUCUGCGAAAAGCAUACACCAAGGAAUAUCAUAUUGAAUAUGUCCUGUUAACUCAUCCAUUACCAACGCAAAAAGGUAAGGACUUAAGGAUGAGCCUUGAUGUAAUCCUACAGUUAUGGGAAAGCUUUCGGUUUAUCCUUCAUGAGUUCUUACGGUAGUAUUUGCUCCUUCAUACAUAUCCUUUAUAGCUUGGAUAUAUGCUACUCGUACUCCUUUCUUCUCUAAAAUCCUCCAAAGAAUGUCUCUUGGGACCCUAUCAUACGCUUUUUCCAAAUCUAUAAAGACCAUUGUGUAAAUCCUUUUUCCCAUCUCUAUAUCUUUCCAUCAAUCUUCGUAAGAGAUAGAUUGCCUCCAUGGUUGAGCACCCUGGCAUGAACCCGAAUUGGUUGUCCGAAACCCGUGUCUCUUGCCUCAAUCUAUGCUCAAUGACUCUCUCCCAGAGCUUCAUUGUAUGACUCAUUAGCUUAAUACCCCUAUAGUUCAUGCAAUUUUGUACGUCGCCCUUAUUCUUGUAGAUAAGCACCAAAGUGCUCGUUCGCCACUCAUUUGGCAUCUUCUUCGUUUUCAAAAUCCUAUUGAAAAGGUCAGUGAGCCAUGUUAUACCUGUCUCUCCCAAAAGUUUCCACACUUCGAUUGGUAUAUUGUCUGGGCCUAUUGCUUUUUUAUGCUUCAUCUUCUUCAAAGCUACAACCACUUCUUCCUUCCGUAUUCGACGAUAAAAAGAGUAGUUUCUACACUCUUCUGAGUUACUCAACUCCCCUAAAGAAGCACUCAUUUCAUGUCCUUCAUUGAAAAGAUUAUGAAAAUAACCUCUCCAUCUGUCUUUAACCGCGUUCUCUGUAACAAGAACCUUUCCAUCCUCAUCCUUGAUGCACCUCACUUGGUUUAGGUCCCUUGUCUUCUUUUCCCUUGCUCUAGAUAGUUUAUAGAUAUCCAACUCUCCUUCUUUGGUAUCUAGUCGUUUAUACAUAUCGUCGUAAGCCGCUAACUUAGCUUCUCUGACAGCUUUCUUCGCCUCUUGCUUCGCUUUUUCUAUACCUUUCACCAUUUUCAUCGGUCCUCUCCUUGUAUAAGGCUUUACAACAUUCCUUCUUAGCCUUCACCUUUGUUUGUACCUCCUCAUUCCACCACCAAGAUUCCUUUUGGUGUGGGGCAAAGCCCUUGGACUCUCCUAAUACCUCUUUUUGCUACUUUUCGGAUACAACUAGCCAUGGAAUCCCACAUUUGGCUAGCUUCCCCCUCUCUAUCCCACACACAUUGGGUGAUUACCUUCUCUUUGAAAAUGACUUGUUUUUUCUUCUUUUAGAUUCCACCAUCUAGUCCUUGGGCACUUCCAAGUCUUGUUCUUUUGUCUUACUCUUUUGAUAUGUACAUCCAUCACCAACAAGCGAUGUUGAUUAGCCACGCUCUCUCCUGGUAUAACUUUGCAAUCCUUACAAGUUAUACGAUCCCCUUUCCUCAUUAGAAGAAAAUCUAUUUGUGUUUUUGACGACCCACUCUUUGUAGGUGAUCACAUGUUCUUCCCUCUUCUUAAAGAAGGUGUUUGGCUAAGAAGAGAUCAUAUGCCAUUGCAAAAAUCCAAGAUAGCUUCCCCAUCCUCGUUUCUCUCCCCAAAACCAUGGCCACCAUGAAAACCUCCAUAGUUGCCUGUCUCCCUGCCCACGUGUCCAUUUAAAUCUCCUCCUAUAAAUAACUUCUCCGUCUGAGCAAUUCCUUGCACCAAGUCUCCAAGAUCUUCCCAAAAUUUCUCCUUCGAACUCGUAUCCAACCCUACUUGAGGUGCGUACGCACUAAUCACAUUGAUAAGUUCUUGUCCUAUUACAAUCUUGAUUGCCAUGAUUCUAUCUCCUACCCUCUUGACAUCUACAACAUCUUGUACCAAGGUCUUGUCCACGAUGAUGCCAACACCGUUUCUCGUUCUAUUUGUGCCCGAAUACCAAAGUUUAAACCCUGAGUUUUCUAGAUCCUUUGCCUUACUACCAACCCACUUAGUUUCUUGUAGGCACAUAAUAUUUAUCCUUCUCCUCACCAUAACUUCCACUACUUCCAUAGAUUUUCCCGUUAAGGUUCCUAUAUUCCACGUUCCUAAACGCAUUUUGCUCUCUUGAACUCUACCCUUCUGUCCUAGCUUCUUCACCCUCCCCCGUCUAAUAGGAUCAAAGUACUUCUUUUGUGUGUCCCGGGUAAAGUUGAUAGGAGCAUAUGCUCCCAAACAACUUUGAGUGGAGUCGUUCGAAAAGAAGUUUUUAUGGCCCCCUUGCUCAUUUAACACUGCAUCCGGGUGCCGAUGGAGAUACAGCGACCCUUGCUCACUUAUCACUGUGCUCGGGCCACACAGCGCGCCACUUACGGGUGACGCCCUAGCUUUAGCGCGAUUUUGUUCUGGAUUCAUUUUCAUAAGGAUUCGACGUGAUCAUGGAGUGCCGGCUGUCGACUACCUGAUGCCCUCCCCCUCCUCCUUUAUCCGGGCUUGGGACCGGCCAUGUAAGACAUAGGCGGAGUUCAGAUAAUAAACACAAUGUUCUAAAAAUCGAUAAAGAACAGUUUUGAAUAGGAACUCCUACUCAUCUUUUGAGUAGCAAAAUAUUAUUCAUUAUGACCAAAAUGAAGUUAAUUUGGAAAUAAGGACAAUUAAUUCAUGAAUUUGGAAUAAGGUAUUAAUUAAGAAACAUCCCUUUUUUUGUUUUGUUAAAAUGAAUAAUGAAUUCAAUAGUAACAAAAACAAAGCUAUACUGCCUGCUAUUUCCACAGGCCUGUAUCUUCUUUGACACUACCAAAACAUUCACCACAAGGAAAACUGUGGAAAUACAGUGCAGAAUAUGUCAAUCGCUACAGAAAUUCCGUUACAGCUUUUGCCGGAGCGCUUGUUUUCAGUAUCAUUUCGUCAUACUCGUCUUCAGGGUUUGAUAACGCAACAAUGGCUCCUCCCCCGCCUAUUGAAGCUUCACCCUCAUGUAUAACAACGGUUCUGAUAACUAUGUUGAGAUCGAAUGUCUGGUUAUAUGAGAAAAACCCUAUGGAGCCUGAGUAGAUUCCUCGUGGACUACAUUCGAUUGAGUCAAGAAGUUCCAUUGAUCUCAGUUUUGGUGCACCUGUCAUUGAACCCCCUGGAAAUGCCGCUCUCACGCAGUCAACUGCACUUACAUCUGACCGCUUUUUCCCGCGAAUUGUGCUCACCAUAGUAUGAACAGUAGCAUAUGAUUCCACGUCCAUCAGAUGGGGCACAUGAACAGAGCCGGGCUCACAUACACGCCCAAGGUCAUUUCUCAGAAGAUCAACGAUCAUCAGAUUUUCAGCUUGAUCCUUUUCACUGUAGAGGGGAGUGAGAGAGAUUAAUUCAUAGAAAGGGAGAGAAAACCACCUCAUUUCUUUCUUGCCAAGUAACUGCAUACACACUAGCUGGAUAUCGAACCCUAGAUCUUAUAUCGCCCACCCUCAUUCUUAAAAGGCAGGAUGUGUCAGUACUCCCAGAUGCUAAUGAACUACUAUUCAGUCCCUGUUGUUUUGAGUUGAUUUUAAAUCUCAAACAUGAGAAAACACAUCCCGGAGCAGAACAACAACAACCAACAACCAACAACCAAGCAGUAUCCCACUAAGUGGGGUCGGCUGAGAAUAGCUCUUCACUGUAGAGGGGGGAGAGAGAUACUAAUUCAUAAAAAGGGAGAGAAAACCACUUCAUUUCUUUCUUGCCAAGUAACUGCAUACACACUAGCUGGAUAUUGAACCCUGGAUCUUAUAUCGCUCACCCUAAUUCUUAAAGAGGGAGGAUGUUCAUCACUCCCAGAUGCUAAUGAAGUACUAUUUAGUCACUAUUUGUUUCGAGUUGAUUUUAGACCUCAAACAUGAGAAAACGCAUCCCAGACCGGAAAGUGAGAAUAAAUCUAGCUAAUAGUAGAAAACUAAGAUUCUGAUAGCAGCUCUUUCACCGGACCAAAUUGUCAUCUAUUUGACAAUUAUUAUAUAAAUGGGAAAAAGAUAUGUGAUAAUGGUUCAAUCCUGUUAAAAAAAAAGAGAUUUUACCUGUAUUGCAGUUGUAAUUUGCGUUGCUCAUCUUCUUCUAGUGUUGCACCACGAGCUAUAGUACCCUUAAUGGGCUUUGCUUCUAAUAUACCAUUUCUAUCCAACCGUAGAAACCGCUCUGGGGAAGAACAGCAGACACAUAGGUUUUCCUUUGAAAAAUUAAGCCAGGCAGCAUAUGGUGCUGGAUUUUUUCUCGAAGGUGAAGGUAAAGUCCUAAUGAAUCCAUUUCCCCAAUUCUUUUCCUCAUCUGAGUUGUUAGACAUAAUUCAUAGCUUUCACCGUCUUUAAUGUAUUCCAGACACUUAUCGACAUCUUUUAUAUACUCUUCUCUUGAUUUAUCAACUAUAAAACUUCCUUGACAUUCCGAAGAUCGAAGAGCCUGCAAAGCUGGCUCACCUCCCUCCUCUGUAGCAGAAGCUUUUAAGCUGAGAAGCUUCUGUUCUGUAUUGUCCAACCAUGGCGUCGUACUUGUGCAUUCUUCCUUAAUAGACAGUAUAUAAACAUCAUCGGAGCAGUGAUCAAUAACUACAAGAUUAUCGGCAAAGAAAAAGCAAGCAUCUGGAGUCUUGGAUUUGUGGCAGUUAGAUGAUGCACCACAUUCAACUUUAAGGCUAUAUCUGUAUUACAUGAAAUCAAUGAAUAUUAGCCAGCUAACUUAAACAACCAUGGAAAUUAAUAUUUUUGGAUAGCAACAGAAAUUCAAUCCAAGCAUAAAUAUCUGAAAAGCAGAAACCAGAGGAAAGGGAUGAUGACUUCUUAUAACUGAACGGCAAUCAGAAAUCGUGAUAGCUAAAAAGUCGAGAUGUCUAAGAUUCAAUCGAUUUCUUCAGAGCCAACUGCCCAUAUUGGAUUAAGCCAAAAAGCAGCCAAAACAUGGGAAAGCCGAUAAAAACAUCGGUAGAGUUUGCAAGAGACCAAGUUCUGAGAAACUAGUUUGCCACAAACUAAAACAAACAAACAAAAUUGGACUCAUGCACCGAGUAGGGGAUAAGAAAAAAAAGAUGGUCCGAGAACAUUACAUUCAAAUAAACUUAACUGCAUACCCCAUGUAGCCAAUAUAUCCACCAUGAAAAUCAAAUGGAAGGCCUUCAUAAUCCUUUUCAUCGUAACAAAAUGACAGGAGCUCCUGAAACAAGGACCAAGUAGCCGAUAUUACUUCACACUGGGAGACUGAACACGGUAACAAAAUAAAAGACAAACAUAUUCCAAAUGGACAGAAGAAAGCGCAUUCUGACAUAAGUUUAUGAUCAUUGAGAUGAUCUGUAUUUAGUACAACACCGGAAAAAUUAUAGAAUCCCAAUAAUUCAAGAACAGAAACAAAACAAGAUAAGGGCAACUUCAGAAGCCAUUUCCAACUUAAAACCUAAAAUUUUUAACCAAGAAAAUUUAGGUUUUAACUCAAAAACAAUUUUUCUCCUCCAACAUUGUUAAAUUUUUAGCCCGAGAUUAUUAAAGAAUGAAUUUAGGAUAAUUUUUUUCUUAAAGUAACUUUAAAAAAAAAUAAAAAAUUAUGUAGACUAUCCUAAUUUAAUAUUAUGAACAUUUUAACCUAAAAAUAUUUAGAUUCCAAUAAAUAUUGAAAAAUCACUAAACUGGCACCAUGCAACUCGUGGAACACUACGAAAGAAUAUGAAACACAUAAAAUAUAUUUUUUUAAUUACUUUAGCCAUUGGAUUUAAAUUUGGACCGUUAUAUAUAUAUAUAUUUUUUUUUACCGUUGAUUUGAUCAAAUGAGAUCUUAGCCGUUUGAUUCAAUGAAUUUAUAAAAAAAAAAAAGUCGUACCCAGUGCACAAGGCUCCCGCUUUACGCAGGGUCUGGGAGAGGUGAAUGUCGGCUAGCCUUACCCCCAUUUAUGGAGAGGCUGCUCCCAAAAUGAAUUUAUAAAUAUAAAACUAAAAAAAAAAAAAUACACAUAUAUGAUAGGUCAGCCCCACUAACCCAGGGGAAUCCUAGGCUAAAUUUGCCCCAGAAAUGAGUUUUGGGUUUGGAGCAAGUUGGAGUAAGUUUAGAACCUAAAAUUCGAGUUUUAUUCCAAGGGUUGGAGUAGGUCUAAGACUACACCACAAGCUGUAAUUUCACUUAAUACCUUUUUCAAAAAAUCAAGAAAACCUUCGUCAAAAAUCUGCUGCUGGUAGAGCCUUGAGCAUCCUCAACAGAUAGAAAACCACUUCCCUUCAAUGUCUUAUCACUGAAAAAUGCAGUAUAUAUCACCAUAACAUUAAAAUACUCAUAAGAGCUUUAUUCUAGAAAAGAACUUCAAAUAAUUCCACAAGAAUUCAAUACGAUUAUUGAAGAACGAAGGUAGUUAGCUGAUGGUACUUCCAUCUCAUGUUAUAACACGAUACCACCAUCAGUGAACAAAAAUCCAUACAAAACUAAAAGUUCGAAUUUUCCCGAAUCAAUGCUCAUUGCUCAGUCAUACCUUCUAUCAGAUAAUUUAAAGGUCAAUUGCUUCCAAAGAGUUCCACCUUUUCCUCCCAUAAAUGAAAAGCGUGCUCUUCUCUGAACAUUCAAGAAAACAGAAACAGAGACAAUGUGUAAGAAAUAAUGGUUUUACGACCGCUACUCAAAAUAAAACUAAGGUAUUAUGAUAAUGUCAAAUGCUUCAACUAAACCUUCACAGAGCACCAUGAGAGAAGGAAAACUCAUGCUAAGAUAUGUAACUAGUAAGCAGGAGCAAGUGAAAUUAACCUACCAAACUAACCUUUUCUAUCGAUGAACUGUCCAACCAAAAGGUGUUUUCAGCUUUAUGAUGUCCAAACAGUUCGCAGAAAAUAUUUUUUGCUCCACCAACUUUACCAGCCAAGUGCUUAAAUUUCUUCCAUUUCAACUUCAGAUAUUUAACACCAGCGCUUGGAUGCAAAAGGCUUACCAUAUCGACCAUACCAGAACAACUUGCGUUACUUUCACUGUUCUGUAAUAAGCUACUUCUAGAAGCCUUGCUAUAUAGCUGACCAUCUGCAUUAUUUACUAAUUGCUGAUAUCCAGGAACUUCUGUGAACAGUCGCUGGGGCAUCUGCAAGCAUGCUAAAAGAAUUUUACUGGUCAGUUGAAGUUAGAGGCAGUUUAUAUUUUAAUAAAUAAUAAUAAUAAUAAUUAUAAAGCAUAUAACAAUACAAACAAAUGAAAUUAGUAUAGCUGGGGUUCUAGACAUCUGUGGGAUCCUUCAAAUGAACAUAAUGUUCAGGUUUGUCAAAAAGGAAUUUGGAUCGAAAUAACAUUCGUAACAAAACACCUGAAAGUUUCCGAAAUCAUCCUCAGAAAAGCAUAAAAAAAAUUGGCAUGCAUAUGAAAGUAUGCAAUGUCUUCAUGUGACUUAGCAUGUGCACACGCAGAUAUGCGUGCGAGCAAGUGAGAUUUCGGCAGAGAGAAAUAUUGACAAAGGACGUAAAGCAAAGAAGAGGAUAAAAGGUAUUCCGGGAAAAGAGCUCUAGUUUACCUGUACAAUCAAAAUUUCGCUUCUUGAUGAAUGACGGUCUUGAAUUCAGCCAAUACUCCUCAGUGAUCUCUCUAAAAUUCUUGAAUAUCUGUCUUCCAUGACAGGUUGCAAUACUCUCUGGAUGGAACUGUGAGGGUCACAGAUAAAGUCAAGAGAAUAUUGCACGUAAAAGCAGAGCCCAAAUAAUCACAAAUACAAUGAACAUGCAACACACCUGCACACCAUAAUGAGGUCUGGUAGAAUGCAUAAUGCCCAUGAGAACCUUUACACUCUGCAUUUUUCCAGAAUGACUGAAAGGCGAAUAACUUCCAUUUUUCAGUUUCUCUGAAAAAUAUCCCACAGCAUAUUCCAAGGAAAAAUCAGACUUCUGGGUUUCGAUGAAAGAAAGUGCAUCCAUGGAGGAAGUCCAUGCUAUAGGAAUGAGUUCAUCUGGAAGUGAUUCAGCAUCUAUGACAAGUGAAUGGUACCGAACCACCUGAAAUUAGGUAAAGUCGUAUGGCUAAGCAUAGUUAAGAAUAAGUUUCACAAUCACCCCAAAAGGUCCAUGGUAGCAAAAGCAUGCACUUUCAGCAAAACCACAUUAAAACAUUAGAGUUUCAAGAAACCAUCUUUAACCUUCUCCAGUUUUUAAGUUUUUUUUCUUUUUACCUGAGGAAUGACUAACUUUGGUUCUGCAAAAAAACAAAGAUGGGAUUUUGAAAGUACGUGACCUUAGUUAAAUAUUAAUCAUAACUCAAAUACAUGAUUGCAAUGUGUCUCGAGUUCAAAUGAAAACUUAAUCUUAGUGGACUUUAAAAAAGUGAAUGUAAAUGCACAAAUUAAUUACUAAUCACAUAUUCUUCCCAGAGAAAAUGGUUUUCAACAUCAUAGUAUACAGAACAGAAUCAUCUGGAUUGAACAUUAGAAUUCUCAACAAUUACCUAUUGUAAACUGGAAAUACUAAAUUAUUUUUUCCUAUGAUGAUUAACUUUUAGCAAGAUAUGAAAAUUCAAAAAAACAGACCGAUGUCAUAGAUCCAGCUAGAAAUAUAUGACAUCUUUCAAGGAUACCCCUACCAUGGUACAGCUAACUUAAUUACAAUAUACAAGAUUGCAAAAAACCAAUGAUCUUUCAGUUGAAGAAAAGACUGACCUUGAAUCCUGAAUCGUGACCAGAAGGGAUGUCAUUGAAAAGUCUGCACCCAUUGUGCUCAACUUCGCUGUAUUGGGGAAAAGGAAAGAGUAGAAAGUUAAAAAAAUGGAACCUACGGGAAACAACAAAAUAACUAUACCAAAGCUUCAAUCCAAAAUUUCAAUUAUAAAGCAUAUUUCCAAUUAGUCAUGACUAGAGAUAUAUAAGAAAAAAUAUGCACCAAUUAGAACCAAAAUCUUGUAACAAAACAUAACAAUACCUCAACCGCCCAUGGACUGGUUCAGGUGCGUGGACAACUUUAGCACCAUGCACAUAACCUAAAGCCUGUUCAACCAAAGGCAUCCGGGAGAAUCAACAUCACUUGGCAUGUAUAUAUGAUUUUAGGAGUAGCAUUUAGAGUCACAUAGUUGAUUUAUUGUACUCUUCCCUAAACGAUCUUAUUUUGUAUGUAACUAUUUCAAAUUCUAGUUAAGCAUCUAGGUACGUUAGAAGAAGAAAAAACAGAAGUAUAAAACCAAAAUACCUGAUGCCCAAGACAAACACCCAAAAUAGGGAUAUCCCAGCAGUCAAGCAGCACCUGAAGACAUAUGCCUGACAGAUUCAAAUAGUUUCUAAAUGAAAUAAUCAUAAAAAGCUUUAGCAUUUAAACCAGACGGAAAAAAAGGGCUGCAAAAGAACUCUAAGAGAAAGAAAAACCAACAGAGGAGAAACAUAUAUGCGCGGUGCAUAUAGAUAAUCUAAAACAUGUUGAAAACUAUUGAGAGUGAUGCCUAUCCUGUUAGUCUGCAGCAUAAGGGCUAUCAACAUAAAGCCUUCAUCUUUCUAUUUUUGGCCCAGAUGGAAUUCAGAAGUAACAAAUAACACAAAAAGAAGAUAGUUGCUGAACUAUUGCAUAUGUGCUUCUAGUCACUAUUCUACCAUACAUCGUGGAAAUAAGCACGGAAGUAGCAUGGCAAAGAUAAAUUCACUUCUGAAAAACUCACCUAUGUCUGCUGGACAUGUUGGCGAACCAGGUCCAGGUGAUAUAACAACAUUGUCAAAAGCAUUUUCUUCAUACAAGUAAUAGUGGAUGUCUUUCCAUGUCAAUUCAUCAUUCCGCACGACCACAGGAGGCACUGGCGCAAUUAGAAGCCAAAAUGUCAGAGCCAACUUUUGGUAGGCUAACAUCAAAUAUAGUUUUUAUUUUCCUUCACCAGGUUAUAGAUGAUGCAAACAUUUUGCCCUUGGAAAUAAUAAACGGACACAGGACAUACAUAAUUCGAUACAUAUAGACAGGGGAAGGGGUUAGAGUAAAACGUACCCCCAUUAAUGACAGACAGCUCCUGGUAUAUAUUGUAAGUGUAGCUGUCAUAGUUGUCAAUCAACAAUGUCCUCACAAAUUCCAGCUUCCACCCAGGUUCCUUGAGGUUAUUCUUUCCCACAUAUGAUCCAUUUAAGCACCGAGGCAUCAAAUUGGUAGACAUCACGAGCUUUCCAGCAUCAUGAUUAGAUACUUGAGUGUUAUCCUUCUUAUUGAACUUAUCAACCUUCACAAAAGGUUCAGACUCUAGCAUAUUCUUGUUUGUAUAUGGCAACCCCUCAACCAAAGGGUAUCUGAGCUCGGAAGAUGACGAACACAAAGUGAAAUUCAUUUUCGUACGACUGAGAAUGUUAAAAUCAUACACAAGGGCCCAAACCAGAGCUUCUGCAACACAAAAAUGCACAGAGUUAAAUAUUCUUUUUCCUGUACUCCAAGAUUAUUCUUUUUCCAGCAUCCCCAAUUAAAUGGGUUGAUAACAACAAUUUACUCACCACUCUUAACUACUCCACUGAAUGCACAAAAGUUAUAGUUAAUACACCUUGACAUGUUAACAACAGUUUACUACACUAUAACACCUGGAAUGCCAUUUCUACCACCGCACUAACUGUCGUUGGAUGAAUGUAAUUUUUAAUCAUAUGCUAAUGAAUCUUGAAAUUUAAACUCAUCCAGCGACAAUUGAUGCAAUGGCAAUGCUAAAAAAGAUGCUAUCUUUAGUGGUGACUGCUUAAAAAGAUGCUAUCUUUAGUGGUGACUGCUAAACCAAUGAACCAAAUGGGUUCACUUCCUUCACAAAAUACAAAUGUGGAAUAAUGAAAUAUGUGACAAAUAUGUAGCUGACAUGACAUGUGAAAUUAAUCGUAGGAAGCUAAAGAAAAUUACUUUCAAGUCAAUAAUCCCAUGCUUAAACUACUAUCAUUUAUUCUGCCGGCCAAAAAAAUCCCAGAAAGCAAAACAUAAACUUGCAGAGACAGGAAAAACAAAAGAAGAAGAAGAUGCGAAGAUAACCUCAGAUAGUCAGAUGAGAAGAUAACCUCAGAUAGUUAGGGACCUGCAAAUACUUGUGAAGUUUGUUGGGUUAUGUAUUUAUAACUUAAGAGAGAGAGAGAGAGAGAGAGAGAGAGAGAGAGAGAGAGAGAGAGAGAGAGAGAAAUCGUUGGGUUGGUGAUGAAAUGGGCCCCGGUUGGUGGUGGUGUAGAUUGGACGAGACAGAGAGAGAGGAAGAAGAAGAAGAAACGGAAAGGAGGGAUGUGGGACCCACGAGCACAAACUCGAUACGGACAGAGAAAAGGGAGGCGGAAGGAUCACGAUUCAUAUUGUGGAGGGGAAAUCCUGGGCCGCAUGUUGCGGCUUGCUUGGCUGCGACUUGGUCCUCUCCUUCCUUCGAGUUCAAGACUUCCAAAGCCGAAGGGUGGGCGGGCGCAGAGCACCGUUUUACUAUUUUGUUUGGUUUAUGUUUAUCAGGAGGCUAUACCUUUUUAUUUUAUUAUUAUUAAUAUUUUUUAUGACAGGGAUUGGACUGGCAGUCUGGCACUUGCAAAUAUAUUUGAAAAUUUUAACAAAAAAUUUCUGAUAAUGUUUAUUUUAAUGAAAAAUUAUAUUUUUAUAUUAAAAAAUUAAUUAUGAUAUUAUUUACUUUACCUUUUAUUUUGUUCUUAUGAACAUAAUAUGUAAAUAUCUAAUUAGAUCUGGUUGCCUAAUAAUUCAACGGUCUGUUUUAUAAACGAGACUUAUAAAAGGUGUACUCUAGUUCUUGGUUAUUAUAAUUUCGAUUUUUACUAGAUAUACAACUAGAACUAGUGCAGAUGAUCCAAACACCAUUUUCCAUGGCCGAUCCCUCCGCAUGGUCGACUUCGUCAAAUGUUAAGCGCUUUAGCAUUUGUCAAUUGCAACCUAAACAACGUGCUUUACUAUGCGUGGGGAAGUGCCUGGCAAGCUUCAUAAUGUUAACGUUGAUGAUCAAGCAAUUCACUAUUGAAAUUUGGUUGCGCGCUUGUCUAGUGUGAAACAUAUGGCGACGGUAUAUACUCUUCUUUUUCUUUCUCUCUAUCGUUUAGUCAAUUCCGUCAUAACAUUAUUUGUGUUAACGUUAACCAGUUAGUAAAUAAAUAAGAUGCUAACGACAGUUAGUGUUUUAUCUCCUCAGAUAAAGAGCACCUGCAAAGGUGUAUGCAACAUUGCUCCAACAAUCACUGCGUCUUCAAGUAUCUUUCCCCUCUUCCAUAAUUGCUGCAAUAGUGCUUCUGCAACAUCAAAGCUCCUAGCCUUCAUAUAUGUACAAUAUAUCGAAGUGGUUGUAUUGAAAUAAGUCUAUGAUCAUUAUAUCAUGGAAGGGAUUGCUCCGACAGUGCUUCUGCAUACAUAAUUUGUAUACAAAACCUUACAAAUGGCAAAUUUUGUAAAUUUGACAUCAAAAUUUGGGCUAUAUUUAGUUACAUGGAUUGUCUUUAGGAAGCCAAAUCCCAAUAUGAAAUUAUUAGCCAUGUGCAAUCUACCCAAGAAAAACAAAAUUGAACAAAAGUACAUCAUAUUAUAGUUAUUGCGUUAUGUGAAACUCUAUAAGACUGACUUGGAUUUUAGUUUCAAUCAUGUCUUGUCUCAAUCCUGAUAUUGCUAAAAAUGUAAGAAAUUGAUAUAUAUGUUUUUCUUUGAUUAAAAUUUUCCCCUAACAAAAACGCAUAAAAUUAAAACUAAGAAAAGAUAAUUGUUCAUACAAAUGGGGAGAAAAGCUUCAAGCUUUGUAAAUUUGGCAAUAGUUAGGUGAAUGAAAUGAAUUAGACCAUCUCUAAGGGAGAUGUUAAAUUUUGACAGCUUAUGUGGCACUUUGACAUCUUUUAAAGUAUUGUUCUCCAACCAAUAUAUCAAAUUAAAUUAUUAUUUUAUUAUUUUAUAAAAUAAAUUAUUAAACUAAUUAAAAUGUAAUAAAGGACAUUUAAAGUUUAAUCAGUAAUCUGUUCACCUUCUUUAAUUGAAAAGAAGAAGAAAAGUAGGAUAAUUUCAUUGGUCAACUCAACAUUAAUUAUAAUAAAUUAUUAAACUAAUUAAAAAUUAAUAAAAUACAUUUAAUAAUUAAUAAAAAAAACAUUUGAAUCUGCUAUCAAAUUUGACAGCAACCUCUUUUGCUGCCAAUCCAUGUCAUCGCCACAUAAGAUUUGGCAUUUCAGUUGGAGAAUAUUAGUGUGGUUUUUUUUUUACUGUUAUAGUUGAUGUGUAUAUUUUGGCAUCUCCUUUGGAGAUGCUCUUAGGCUUCAAAUGAAAACAAAAUCUGUAAUAAAUUUUACAAUCUUCUUCAAUUGGAGUUUUCUUCAAACUGUAUGAACCAUUUAUGCCAUUCCAUUACUAGUCAUGAGAUUCUCUAAGUUAUGAAUGAAAUUUGUAAAUAUCUAAUCAGAUUUACUUGACUAAUAAUUCAAUGGUAGGUUUAGAAAACGUGAUCUAUAAUAGGUGUACUCUAGUCCUUGGUUUAGUCUCAUAAGUGAAAUUUUCAUAACAUUUCGCAAAAUGGCAAAAAAUGUUCAAGCAAGCAUCAAUAUGGUAAUUUUGUUUUCUUAUUGGAUAUACAACUAAUGUCGAUGAUAGUUGUUUGCUACCUCAACUGUGCGUUACACUAUGCUUGGGGAAGUGCCCUGGUCAGUGUCAAGUUAAUGUGAAUGAUCAUGCAAUUCACUACUACAAAAUUGCUUGCUUGCUUUAGUAAUGUUCCAAAUAUGCCAACAAUAUAUACCUUCAUUCUCUCUCUCUCUCUCUCUCUCUCUCUCUCUCUCUCUCUCUCUCUCUCUCUCUCUCUCUCUCUCUCUCAGUAUUGUGUUAGCAUCAACAAGUUAGUAAAUAAAUAAAAUGCUAACCAUACGUAAAUUUUUAUCUCCUUAGAUGAAGAGAAACUGCAAAGGUGUAUGGAAACACUGCUCGAACAAUCACUGUGCCAUAUCUCUUCCAUGAUUGCUUCAACAAAUGCUUCGAUCGGUAACAUCAAAGCUCGUAUCCCUGUAUAUAUGUUUGAGCUUGAAAUCUCAAAUUAGGGUAAGAAAGAGUAAGCCUAGUAAGAAGACUGCAAAUUUCAGCCCAAUAAUGAAAUUUGCUGACUAGUGGUGCAGGGCUCGGCUUAAUGGUAAAAUACUGAUGGCUCGACUGAGUCCUAGGAAAUCUGAGAUUGUUUAAGAAUUAGGAUUAGAUUGUGAUUCGGUAUAGCCCAACAAAGUAGGUUUGUUGAGGAAUCAAGAUGGUUUCUUUUUAAGUAAAACUAAUGAAAAGGGCUUGAAAACUUUGAGUUUUAAUGAUAAGGACAAAAUAGAGGGUAAAGUGAAUAGUACCAGAAUUGACUUUUUAGUGUAAAAAUGUGGUUUUUCGUUAAAAUGAACAGUACGGGUGCUUUUCGUUAAAGUUCCCUUCUUUUUAUGAAAUCUGAUUAAGUUGUUUAAGGAUAAAAAAAUCAAGGUUGUAUAAAGAACGAAUCGGUCGCAUAAAGAGACUAAACUAAGAGUCUUAGUUCAGAAUGUUUAUCAUUCCAUGUAACAUAGAAACCUCCAUACGGGUCAAGUUCGGUUAGGGUUUGGGUCAGGAUCGGAGAAUGGUAAUAUCAUCACUGUUUCUUAUACAACUUGAAUUUGUUAUUAUCAAACUAAACAUGGUAAAUACCAAAAAUAUAUAUGUGAUAAUAUUUGGGAAUUUUUUAUAUAUUCAUUAAUCUCCAAAGUGGAGUAUAUAUAGGAGUUACAAUUGGUAUUACAUAUGCAUUUCGUCAAUGUGAGACAACUGAUUACUAUUUACACUUUAACUAAUAUAUAACUCACAACACUCCCCCUUAAGUUGGUGCAAAGAUGUCACGCAUGCCCAACUUGUCAAGCGAGUUGGAAAACACACUAUUAGACACAGUCUUAGUAAGUACAUUAGCGAGUUGAUCUUCAGAUCCCACAAAUGGAAACAUAAUAAUUCCAGCAUCUAAUUUUUCGUUGAUGAAAUGUCGAUCAAUCUCCACAUGUUUUGUUCAAUCAUGUUACAUUGGAUUAUGAGCAAUCUCAAUAGCAACCUUGUUAUCAUAGGGGAGUUUCAUAGCACCCUUGGGUUUAAAUCCAAGAUAUAUCAACAAUUUUUUCAACCACAACAACUCACAUACACCAUGAAACAUACCACGAAACUCAGCUUCAGCACUUGACCUAGCCACCACUUUUUGUUUCUUGCUUCUCCAAGUAACUAGAUUACCACCCACAAACGUAAAGUAUACAGAUGUAGAUCGCUGAUUAGUGAUAGAACCUGCCCAAUCUGCAUCUGUAUACCCUUCGACAUUCAACUAACCAUUCUUGGAGAAAACCAAGCCUCUGCCAGAAGCCAUCUUCAAGUACCUCAAAAUACGGAUUAUUGCAUCCAUAGGAGCUUCACUAGGUGAGUGCAUAAACUAACUUACCACACUAACUGCGUAAGCAAUGUCAGGGCGAGUGUGAGACAAAUAAAUUAAUCUUCCCACAGGCCUCUGAUAUUGUUCCUUAUGAGUAGGAACUUAAUCCGAAAAUAAGCCUAGACGAUGAUUCUGCUCAAUCAGAGUAUCAACAAGUUUACAAUUUAACAUACCUGUUUCAUCUGACAAAUCAAGAACAUACUUCCGUUGAGAAAAAAAAAAUACUAUGCUUGAAUCGUGCAACCUCGAUUCCAAGAAAAUACUUCAAUUCACCCAAUUCUUUCAUUUCAAAUUCAGCAGCUAUGUACUUUUGAACGCAUUGUAUCUCAUUCUGAUCAUCACCAGUCACUAUCAUGUCAUCAACACAAAUAAUCAUUGCAGUUAGCUUACCAUUUUGUCGCUUUAGAAACUAAGUAUGAUCUGAAUGACUCUGGACAUACCCAAACUUCUUCAUUGAACUUGUAAACCUCCUAAACCAUGCUCUAAGAGAUUGUUUCAAACCAUACAAAGCCUUUCGCAACCUGCAUACAACACAUUUUCCAGGAGAUGUUCCGAUACUAAGUGGGAGAGCAAUAUAAACUUCAUCUUUGAGAUCACCAUGAAGGAAAACAUUCUUAACAUCAAACUACAACAGAGGCCAAUCCUGGUUUGCUGUUAAGGACAGAAGAACACGCACAAUAUUAAGUUUGGCAACAUGAGCAAAAGUCUCCUAAUAGUCCACCCCAUAGGUUUGAGUACAACUCUUAGCAUCUAAUCUAGCUUUAUACCAGUCAAUAGAACCAUCUGCUUUGUGCUUAAUAGUGAACACUCAUCUACAUCUAACAACUUUCUUCCCGUUUGGUAAAUGAACCAAAUCCUAAGUGGAAUUCUUUUCCAAAACUUCCAUCUCAACUCUCAUGGCAUUAACCCACUUAGAGUCAGACAAAGCACCAUGCAAUUUUGUUGGAAUUGAUACAGUAGAUAGCUGACAUAUGCAAUAUGCAUAUGGUUUGGACAAAUGAUAAGUAGACAUAAUUGUUGAUAGGAUAUUUGGCUUUGGCAUUAAUAUCAGGCUCAUAUUGUACUUUAGGUUUUCCACGAUUAGCUCGUAGAGGCAACUGAUAAGUAAAAGAAUUGUCAAAAUUUACUUUUUGUAUGUCACCAUCUUGUGCCAAAACUGUUAGAAGAAUCAUCACUGGUCGAACCAUCAUCAGGAAACUCAUUAGACAUACUAGCAGCAUGCAACCAAUCAUUAGAAGGUAAUUUGUCAGACAUACUAACAGGUAACUCGUUGGGCACAUCUGAUCUGUCAUCAGUAGCAAUAGUUUCGGGAAUGACAGGUGACCAAUCAUUAUCUAUAGCCAACUAAUCAGUAUCACGCAAAACGCAACAUAAUAAGUUAUAUCCCCAACUCUGUCUGUAACACAUCAUCCAUACCAUAUCAUCGAAUAUGCACUUCACUCCCACUAUCCCCUUGAAAUUGAGAGUCGGAAGAGGGCUUCACAAAAUACUAAACUUCCUCGUGGAAGGUAACAUCCAUGGUAAUAUAAAUUUUCUAAGUCGGAGGAUGAUAACAUUUAUAGCCUUUCUGAUUGUUAGCAUACCCAAUAAAUACACGUUGAAGAGCAUAUACAUCAAGUUUACUCCGCUGAUGAGAGUAGACAUACACAUAGGCAAUACACCCAAACACCUUCAGAUGAGGUUUUGAUACAGAAACUAGAUAAACAUGUUUUUGUAGCACAUCAAGCGGUGUUUGAAAACCAAGAACCCUACUUGGAACACGAUUUUUUAAAUACACAACAGCCAAAAUAGCAUGGCCCCACAAAUGAUUAGGAACACAUUUAUCCAACAUCAAGGAGCAAGCAACCUCCAUUAUUUGACGAUUCUUCUGUUUGGACACACCAUUUUGUUGGGGUGUAAAAGAAGUAGUCGUCUGGUGAAUAAUACCUUGAUCACAAAAAAAACAUGCCAAAGUGUGAUUCAUAUAUUCUCAUCCGUUAUAAGACCUGAAGACUUUAACUUUGGUAUGAAACUGAGUAGACACCAUUGCACAAAAUUCUUGAAGAGGCAAAGGAACAUUACUCUUAUUCUUCAUCAAGAACACCCAAGUUAAUUGAGUACAAUCAUCAAUAAAAGUAACAAACCAAUGUAAUCCAUUAGAAGUAACCUUUGUCGGACCCCACACAUCAGAAUGUAUUAAAUCAAAUGGCAAAGUAGCUUUAGAAUCACUUAUGGGAAAGGAAGCACGAUGACUCUUAGCCAUGACAUAUGUUUCACACUUGAACUUUGAAUCACUACAAGUGUGAAACAAAGAAGGAAAUAGAUGCUUCAUAUAACUGAAUGAUGGAUGUCCCAAUCGUCAAUGCCAUAACCAAAUUUGAUGUCUGUCAUCCACUUUAGCACUUAAAACUUGAUAAUUAUUUGAACCGGAAACAGCAGCAUCCUUCAUAGUCAAGACGUACAAACCCCCUAUUCUUUUACCACAACCCAUUAUCUUAUGAAUUUGAAUGUUUUGAAAAUAACAGUACGUAGAGUAGAAGUGAGUAUAACAAUAUAAGGUAUCAAUUAGUUUUCCUAUCGACAAAAGAUUUCACUUAACAUCAGGAACAAGUAAAGCAUGGACCAAUGAUAAGGUUGGAGUAAGAGAGAUAGUGCCUUCACCCUUCACAGGGGAAGGUGCUUCAUUUGUACUAGUAAUAUACAGAUCACGAAUAUAGUCACAUAACUCAUCAAACACUCUAGGGUCACUAGUCACAUGAUUAGUGGCCCCAGUGUCAAUUAUCCAUAUAUUUGUUCCACUAAGAUGCAUAACAACACUAUAAUUAUAUUGAGCCAUUGAACUAAAUCAUGAACAAUAAAGGCACAAAAGAUAAGCAACGAAAUGAAAAAAAUUUACCAUAACACUGUAGCAGAUCACUGUUCACACACUGUAGCAGCAAGGCUCUAUUCGUUAUACUAUAGCGCGGCAUUAUUCACUUUCUUUUUAUUUAUUUUUUAAACGAAGGAAAUCAUGACAAAUGUGGGCACAAAAUUAAAGCACACAUGUCACCAAGAGCGAAGUGCUCUAAUGCCAUGUCAAACUAAACAUGGUAAAUACCAAAAUAUAAGGAAAACUAAUGAAAAGGGCUUGAAAAUUUUGAGUUUUAAUGAUAAAGAUAAAAUAAAGGGUAAAGUGAAUAGUACCAGGAUUGACUUUUUAGUGUAAAAAUGUGGUUUUUCGUUAAAAUGAACAGUACCGGAAGCUUUUCGUUAAAGUUUCAAAAAAUAUAUAUAACAAUAUUUAGGAAUUUCUUAUAGAUUCAUUAAUCUCCAAAGUAAAGUAUAUAUAGGAGUUACAAUUGGUAUUACAUAUGCACUUCGUUAAUGUGGGACAACAUACUACUAUUUACACUUUAAUUAAUAUAUAACUCACAAUACAAUUCCCAAGUUCGGUUGGGGUCGGGUAUCCCAGGAAACCAUAUCAUGCCGUGCAGCUGUGGAGCCUUUUACCAUCCUAUUAAUCAUUAUCGACUUAUCAAAGAUUCCUUGCUGAAAUACUUCAUCGUUAAAGAGAUUAUUUGUUGUAGUGUAUAUUUGUUUGGACCCGAUUUUAUACCAUUGGCCCAAGCGAUCGAGGCUGUUGAGUGAGCAUAGUUCUUAACCGUCAGUUAAGAUAAUUUGCUAUUAUUAAGAGAUAAUAUUAUGGUUUUUAAUCAUAAUAAUUAUAUUUUAAUAAAUUAUCUCAAUUUUCUUGUGCAAAAUGAAUGGGAUGCAAAUCAUAACCUCAACGUAGAGGCAAGCAGAACAGUCUGAGUUAAUGUGGAUUUGUUAGCAGUGUACUAUGUGAAUUAGAGCAGCUUGGCUUGGACUCUUCACGUGGCAUAACAUGGCUCUGCAAGUUUUGGAUAAUGGUGAAUAGAAAACCUAAGUAGGUUAGGUUGUUUGAUGGAUGUUGUCAGACGGAUAGGCUUUUGGAUGGGUGAUGGGUUAGGUUUUUAUUAGCUUUGAAAAGUCAACCAUUUGAAGAUACGCUUUAAGCCUAUGCCACAUAUCAGUUUGAGUUUAAGUCGGUUUCUGCUUAUUAUCCAGGCCGUGCCAAUCAUAAAAUUUGUUCCUAUAAAUACAGAGGCAAUGGCAACGCAUGAAGGACCACCAACUCAACAUAUAAACUACCCUGCGCAAACCCUCGCUCUAUGCGAAACCUCUCAAACAUCUUGAGAUUUUUUAUUUUGUUUUUCGCCAACACGUCUUCAAUUUGGAUAAACAGCAUUGUGAAGGCAACCGGCGAACAUCUUCAAUUUGGAUAAAUAACAUUGUUGCCGUAGAAUCAACCGACCGCGGAGCACCUUCAGUUUGGAUAAACAGCACUGCGUCGAGGCCGACUGGUUAUCUAUCCAAGUCUCGGUCGAAAAAGAUUUUCAAAUCCUUAUUGGCAGACGUCAUCUCAUUAGCUUUUUCGGUGAAGUGAGGUGUUACAAGUUAUUACAUUCGGCACAUUGAAAGCCGAAUUUGAUAUUGAACUUCGCAGAACUAGCAGCCUUGUCUUCAGGCUCUAGAACCCGAUGGCCGAGAGUGUUCAUUCCUCGGACACAGUCGCGAGAUUCAGAAGUCAGCAGCGCACCCAACGCAACAUCAACAAAUUUUACUCCUCGGCUAACGAGUUAGCUCAUUAGUUACUCUGCCUGCGCGCCAUGUAAGCUUGGUAGUUUUUAGAGUCAACAUUUUGGCACGCCUAGUGGGACCAAGUGCUAAAACUACGAAGUUCACAUGAUAUAUCUCGAUCAGGCUUCCUGGGAUGAGUUGCAUCGCCUAUUAAAGGAGCAAAAACAAUGCUUCGAGAGAUGGGGUAGAUUUUCUAAAAGGCAAGAGGCCCAGGGGCAAAUUUUCGCUCCGCCCACAAUCAAAAUUCAGCCUCAGAACAUUGUCGAGACGGCCGAAGAACUUAGGCCACUUGUUGUUUCGAUCGAGACUAAAAGUAUGGUAGGCCUAGAAGAAAAAAUUCAAGUUUCUGAGCCACAAAUUGACUUAGACAAUGAUUCGUCAGAAAACUGUUCCAAUGACGAACAAGACCAAUUCAUGGUUUCAGCUGAACAAACCACGCCAAUCGAUAUGAUUAUUGAUGAUACAGUUGAUAUGGAGAAAUCUCGUUAGGCUAAGUUGUUCGAGUUGAAAGCCGAAAUUGGCGAAGUAAUUAUGCUUGGGGGGCAUAAUAAUUGUUUAACCACACAUUCAGCGGCCGAAAAUGAAAAAUAUUUAACCAAGGUAGAAAUAUUUGGAGAAAAUUCUUUAUUCGGCCUAGAGCGAAAUCAAUUUGAGAAUUUUGUUAUUAGAAGAUCUCGGCUUGGAAUAAAGCAUCGUUGGCCUCCUCCUGACUAUGGUUCAACCACUUUUCUUUUCAUUUGUUAAAUAUAUAUGUUAUUUUCUUAAACAUAUGGCUAUGCAAGCCGAUGUAAAGAAAAUGAAGGGCAGACAUUAUAGGCUAAGUCUCAAUAAGCUUCUCCAAUGAAGGCCUGAUGCUUGGUGCAAUACUGGCCUGAUGCUUGGUGCAGUACUAGCCUGAUGCCGUGCAGUGUACAAUUUGUUUGAAAUUUAAAGCCAACAUCAUUAUGGCCCGAUGCCGUGUGUGCAUGUGUGUGUGUGUCUAUAUAUAUAUCCUAAAUGGUGGCCUGAUGUCGUGUGUGUAUGUAUAGAUCCUAAAUGGUAGGCCAUUGUUUAGUGGUCAUCCAACUUUAUGAUUUCCAUUGUUGCUGCAUCCUUUCUUGGGGCAGGUAAGCAGAGAGAUUUGAUGUGACUGAAAUACGGUGAUAUUAUCAGAAUCCAUUCGGUGGAAUAGUCUUGGCAAAAUAAAUAAAUAAAAAUUGUAGUGAUGUGUUUGUCGAGCUCAACGGGGUUCACUUUGUUUCUGCUUACCUUCAUUCUAAGCUUCUCAACCUCGGCUCAGUGUGUAUAUAAAUAUAUAUAUAUAUGCAGGCCGAGCUGCCAAGAAAAAUUCUUCUCGACCUCGGUGUAGUUUUUCUCAGCCUAAGCCCGCUUUACCCUCGACCCCAAUUUUUUUUUCUACUCCUUCCCAAGUUCUUCUCGAACUUCUGACAAAGUUGCCGAGCCUGGUAUGGAGUUGUGGCAGUCGAGGAAGGUCGCAGCGUUGGCAGAACAUACAUGUUAUUACCGAGGAACAAAGUUUCUUUUUCGGCGAUUCGACGGGAUUUUGUUGGUUACAAACAAUUAAUUUCCUUAACCAUUCGGCUUAUGAGCCGAAACUUAAGGAAACUGGGGGCAAUGUUUGGACCCGAUUUUAUACCAUCGGCCUAAGCGAUCGAGGUUGUUGAGUGAGCAUGGUUCUUAAUAUUAAGAGAUAAUAUUAUGGUUUUUAAUCAUAAUAAUUAUCUUUUAAUAAAUUAUCUCAAUUUUCUUGUACAAAAUAAAUGGGAUACAAAUCAUAACCUCAACGUAGAGGCAAGCAGAACAGUCUGAGUUAAUGUGGAUUUUUUAGCAGUGUACUAUGUGAAUUAGAGCAGCUUGGCUUGGACUCUUCACGUGGCAUAACAGGGAUCUGCAAGUUUUGGAUAAUGGUGAAUAGAAAACCUAAGUAGGUUAGGUUGUUUGAUGGAUGUUGUCAGACGGAUUGGCUUUUGGAUGGGUGAUGGGUUAGGUUUUUAUUAGCUUUGAAAAGUCAACCAUUUGAAGAUAGGCUUUAAGCCUAUGCCAUAGACCAAUUUGAGUUUUAGUCGGUUUUUGCUUAUUAUCCAGGCCGUGCCAAUUAGAAAAUAUGGUCCUAUAAAUACAGAGGCAAUGACAACUCAUGAAGGGCCGCCAACUCAACAUACAAACUGCUAUGCGCAAACCCUCGCUCUACGCGAAACCUCUCAAACAUCUUGAGAUUUUUUAUUUUCUUUUUCGCCAACACAUCUUCAGUAACAGCACUGUGAAGUCAACCGGCAAAUAUUUUCAGUUUGGAUAAACAACACUGUUGCCGUAGAAUCAACCUACCGCGGAGCACCUUCAGUUUGGAUAAACAGCACUGUAUCGAGGCUGACUGGUUAUCUAUCCAAGUCUUGGUCAAGAAGGAUUUUCGAAUCCUUAUUGGCAAAGGUCAUCUCAUUAGCCUUUUCGGCGAAGUGAGGUGUUAUAAGUUAUUACAUUCGGCACAUUAAAAGUUGAAUUUGAUAUUAAAUUUUGCAGAACUAGUAGCCUUGUCUUCAAGUCGAAGGCCGAGAGUGUUUCUUCCUCGGUCGCAGUCGCGAGAUUCAGAAGUCAACAACGCACCCAACGCAACAUCAACAAAUUUUACUCCUCGGCCGACGAGUUAGCACGCCCGCAUACAACCGAAGGACAUAGUUAACUCAUUAGUUAUUCGGUCUGCGCGCCACGUAGGCUUGGUAGUUUUUAAAAUCAACAAUACUGUAUUUGGGCAUCACGUGCAAAAAAGGGCAUCCAUUCACAUCGAUAGAGUCGAGCAUUUAUAUGCAUAUUUUGUGUAUUCAAAAAUGGCAGCUCCGCACAGGGAACUGAGGGAAGAAAGGGCCCGUUCGGAGUACUCUGAACUCAGUGAUUGAUUUUGAGUUUUGAUCACGUGGGUAAAAUAAGAGUCUUCAUAUCUGUGGUCAGUAGUCUAGAGCUGAGACGGCUCUCUUGACCAUAAUAUGGAUACUGCAUGUUGGACUAGAAAGUAGUACUAAAUUAUAAUUAUUUGGAUUGAGAAAUGAUAGAUGUUAAUAGAAUGUUCGAUUAUGCAUGGGUGCACCAUGCACCUAUAUAAGAAGAAUAGGACUUAAAUGAGAAAUUUUUUAAUUUUCUCUGAGCUUCUGUUUCUUCCACCAUAGCUUCCGCAACUCUGUUAUGAUUCAUCUGUCAUUUCUCACGUCUCACGCAAAGACUUCUUCUAGACUAAAUACAUGUACUCCCUCAUUUUACAUUUAUAGAUCUGAAAAAUGACUUAACCCUUUUCACACUGCUCACUAUCUCGAUUUUAGUCGCAUGCUAAGUAUUGGCACUGUUCUAAAACUCAGCCUAAACAGCCGCCUGGUUACUUAACCCUUUUCACACUAAUCUCUAGCUUGAUUUUAGUCACGCACUAAAUAUUUUAUAUAUACUAAAACCCGGUGAAAAAACACUGUUCAUCAACAGUGCACGGGCUGAGAUGCCCUUUGCUUCCUUUGUGUUCUGAUUUUUUCUGACCAUUUUACCCUUUUACUAACAGUGCACGGGCGGUGCUGUAUUGCUUUGGGUCUCUUUCUCUUCUCAUUUUUUCAUUGCUUUUCUUUACCCACGUGUCCACCAUUCCCUUGCCACGUGUAUCCUGGAAUGGUACGCCUUGGAUCUCUGGAAUUUUCUUUCGGUUUCCAUUUCCUUCGUUCUAUUAUACUUGUUAGCACUAUUCGCAAAUAGUCUUUUACCACAUUGAUGGAAUGGUGUUGAGUCUUUACAUGAUGAUGUGGGUUCAAACCUCGUCGAUAGCUAAUCUAACAAAAUUUAUUGCUUGACAAAAAAAAAAAAUAUUGGCACUAGUCUAAAAAUCGGUCUAGGCGGCGGAAGACUGAUGCGAUUUAGGUCAUAACGUAGAGGAAAAUCGGGUAAGGGCUAGGCGCCCAUUGUUUUAAAAAAAAAAAAUUAAGUUAAAGGGUUUUCUGGGUAACCUACACAAAAACCCAUAGUAUUUCUCUAGUUGUUUUGUGUUUCUCAUCCCCUUGUCUCUCUACACAGAAGCGUUCUCUCUCUCCUCACAAACGGGUGUGAUGAUGCCAUGAUGACUUAAGUUUUAACUUUUCCAAAUUCUCAAUGUAAAUAUAUAUAUAUAUAUAUAUAUAUAUAGUGUAUGUGGGUACCUAUUUAUAUAUUAUAUGAUAAAUUGGACUAAAUCCAUAUAAUCUGCCUAGUUCACCUAGUCUCUCCCUUACUCGCCUAGUUACCUUGGCACUAAAUCUCAGCCUGCCAACCGACUGCUUAACGUCUUUUAAAACGUUACGUACUGAAAUUUUGCAUUUCCACUAUAAUAGUCUAAUUGAGGAAGUCAAGAAGGCUAAAAUAUGCUUAUUUUAUAUCUGGUUGCACGAAAAAGGCUUUAAAUGUAAACGUAUACAAGUAGACAUUAUUCCAACGCUCCAAGCCGCCUCAAGAUCUCAAGUGGCAUUAAACAUAUAAACAAUAAUAUGUCGGGGAAAAAAAUCCACAUGACAGUAAUAAAGUGUCACCUCUUAUUGACUUAAUUUCAUCAAUCUAUUCAACGAAUAAAGAAGACGAAACUUCCUCCAAUUUGGGUUUAUAAGAGAAUAAUUUAUGUCUAUAAUCUAUAUAAAUGCAUGCAGCAUCAUUCCCUCAUAUUGUAACUUGAUAGCUCUUUCUGCUACUUUGCUAAAAUCCGAUUCAGUUUAAGAGCACACAUCAAAUUUCCUGCUGCAUCAACCAUAUAUCAUGAAGUUCUUGCUUCCUUGCUCAAAGUGUUUCUCUUCACCUGGAAUCAUCGAUGAUAAUAGCACACACGGUAAAUAGAAAUUUAAAAUAGAAUUUCUGCUUUCUGUAGAACCGCGCUCUCAUUUUAUGGAUAUCUUUUGCUACCUAUCAUACUUCGUUUUUAUUUUUCCUCAUUGGUUGAUAAUAAAAAAAUUGAUUUUUACACACUCAUUUUCUUCUCAUGUGCACCCGUGUUGAUUUUUGGGCUUUGGAUUGAAUGAUGUAUAAAAAUAUUAAGGGAAGAAUUAAACAAAUGUGAGCAAAAAAAGAAUUUAAACAAAUGUGUGCAGAAGAAGAAAAUGAGUGUGUAUAAAUUAUUUUCCGCUCAUAAAACAUGAGAAUACGGAAGCCUGUUUGUUGAAGCACAUCAUAGUUCAAUUUGCCCUUUCAUUUUUCACUUUUGGGUUUCUUUGUAACCAGCAUUGAUGAUGUGAAUUGUAUUGCAUAUGCUAAUGAGAUAUUAACCUGUCCCACUUUAUCUAAUUUAUACUCUACGUUAAUUAGUAUUUUGAUAGAAGCGUGGAUCGUUCUUGGCUAUCUACUUACUAAAACAGGUGUACAAUUUCUUCAAAAUGUCCGCAACUUCAAAUACAAAGAAUUGAAAGUCGCCACCAACGAUUUCCAUCCAUCCAACAAAAUUGGUGAAGGCGGAUUUGGUUCUGUUUUUAAGGUAAUUUCUGCGUAUACGUUGAUUUUUUUUACUGUUGGAGUACUAAGAAAAGGCUGCUUGCAUUCUGAAUUUUUAUUAAUUUUCAAGUGCUUAUAAUUAAUUUUGGCUAAAUAGUAAGAACUCCUGUGGUUGAAUUACUGUAAAAGGGAAAACUUAAUGACGGAGUGGCCGUGGCCGUGAAAGUUCUUUCAGCUGAAUCAAAGCAAGGAGAUAGGGAGUUCAUGUCUGAGCUAGCUUCACUCUCCAGUAUUCGCCAUCAAAAUCUGGUCAAGAUGCGCGGUGGUUGUGUGGAAGGCCGCCGUAGAAUUCUUGUUUAUGAUUACAUGGAGCACAAUAGCCUCGCUCACAUCUUGCUAGGUAAACACAUAAAUUAACCUAGCUCCUUAUUAGUUUUCAUGCAUGAUGACCUUCCUUAUUUUCACCUUAUAUAUAAGAGUAGUUCCACCGUUGGAAACCCUCCUCCAGGCUAUUAACUAUGCUAUCCACCCAGUGAACAGUAAUUGCAUUCAAUGAACAGUAAUCGCUUUUUGCAUCUCCACCCCUAUACUGAAUAGCCCUGUCAAUUGGUAAUAAAAUAUUACUAUUUUUUCCUCACCCAUCCCCAUCACCCUUCCCCGUUUUCCCCUCAUUUGACCGAUUCUUCCUCUCUCUCCCUCUCUGUCUCUUUGUCUCUCUCUUUUCUUUCUAUCUCCCUCAUCCUUUUUCUUUCUUUCUCUCCCUCCUUUCCAGCUCACUCUUGUGAGCUCUCUUCCUUCUUCGUCUUCAAACCUUCCAAAUCAAGCUCAAAAAUAAUAUUUCUGGAAUCCCUGGAACUCAAGGAACCCAACCAUGGCCUUGCAUGUGGCAUCAGUGCAUGGUGCUAGGUCCUACCAUUGAAGCCGAGAGCUUGAGCUCUCAAUCCGUUUACCUCUCUGUCCUUCAUUCUCUCUCCUCGUCCUCCUUUUUUGUCUCUCCUGUUUGUUGCUCCAUCUCCCACCAGAUCCACCGCACGGGUGGUCAGAAUGUUGCAGGCCUUUGAAUCAGAGUCGGUGUCGUCGAUUUUAGUUGGAGAGAGAGUGAUUGUUUGAGACAAAAUAGAGGAGGAUGGGAAGCAAACGGAGACAAAGAAAGAGGAGAUGAAGGGACGCCAACGUCGGUGAGAAGAUCGGAAAGGGUGGCGUCAAUGCCGAUGGGUGCCUUAAUAAUGUGGCUUCUGUCACCCUGACGUCAGCCCACGUCAGAUAGCCUUCGGGCGCUCGGGCCGGCACGAAUCCACGGGCCUGGAGCUCGGGCCUGCUCGGGCUCGCUCGCCAGCCAACGUUGGACUUCCUCCCUCCGGCAAUCAAGCCCUGUUUUGCAGCCUGUCCCUCUAGCAGUUGCUCCCGCUGGAGCUGCUCUAAUAGCAGUAAACAUUAUGUUAAAAAUCAAAGGACGAGAAAAUAACAAAAAAGCGGAUUGAAACUAUGAUUCUUAUUUCAUUUACACAAAAGGAAAAAGAAGAUUAUAUAAAUUGUUAAACAAGGUUACAUAACAAAAAAUAACUAAUUAAAUUUUUGCAAAACAUAAUUCUUUUUUUUUCUCUUCUGAAAAUUAACAUUCAUUAAUCCGAAAAGAGGUUAUAGGUCAACUCAAAGAAAGACAAAAUAACCCAGAUGACACUUAGAUACACAAAAGCCUAGCCCAAUAAACAAAUAAACAAAAACUAAAACCCUAAUUCCUAUCCUCCAAGUGCAGAAAGCAACGCCUGCCUCCGAGUUGUCGCCACUGCUGAUGUCGUCACCGCCACUGCUGAUGUCGUCACCGCCACAAAAGUUUUGCUAGCAGACACCAUGACAACAACACUAAAGGAAACGAUCGAGUGGUCAAUUCGACCAAGACAUAGCAGCACACAAAUAAAAAACUCACAACCAAAAACACAUCACAACCAGAUUUCAUCAUCGAAAGCCCUAAACCAAGAGAUAGUCACUGGAUCCAAAUUUCCUUCACCAACCCUUGCAAAUAUAUACAAACACAGUAACACAUGAACCAAGGUAUGCAAAAUACCUUUACUUUGGCUAAAGCCGCAAAACACUAGACCUUGAGGGGAUACCAACCCAGUUGGGGGAGGGGAAGUAAGGGAUAGAAAUGGAUCUUGCAUUCAUUUUCGGUUCAAAGAUCGCAGAUCGAAGCAAAGAAUGGGGUGGGGAUAGAUUAUGAGGAAGGGAGGUAGGGGAAAGGGUGAGGGAAGAUGAAGGUUUGGGUUUGGAAAGGCGCGACCAAAAGAGAGGGAGGGAAGGAGGGAGGAGGCAUGAAGCCCAAAUCUGAGACAAAUUCAGAAAAAAAAUUGAGACAAAACUCAAAAGAAAAUUGAAACAAAAGAGAAGGGAAAGAAUGAGAAGGAGGGACGGAGGAGAAAACAAAAGCCAAAAGCUAGGUCGGUGGCUAGGGCUUUUCUUGUGUUUAGAAAACCAGAGAAAUGAUAUUUGUAGUUACUGUUGUGUUUCCUACCAAACAUAGUUUUUAUUGAGUUACAAGAGAUGUAUUAUAUAAAAACCUAAUUCUGAACAAAUAGGAAACCAGUAAUAACCACUAAGAAAGUAAUCAUAUCCUUACCUCACUGGAAAAGCCUAAUUAAUAUAUAAAUUAUCAAACGGCUAACUAAACUUGUCCAACAUCCUAUCAAACAAUAUUAAAUAUAUUAUGUUAUCAGGUUAAUAGACUCGUUGGUUCAUAAAUAAUGUGAAAUCAUAUCUAAACGAUGGUUCAAAUUGUCAACUUCACAACAUAGCAUGCUAAACAUAUCCUCCUUUUUUUUUUUUUUUUUUUUUAUGAAAGUGCGUAUGUAUGGAUAUAUAGUACAUAUGUGAUUAAUCAUCAGUUGAUUGUUGAUUAGGUGAGGAGAAAAUUAGAUCGAAAUUAGGUUGGAGGGCACGACGAGAAAUUUGUCUUGGGAUUGCUAGGGGCCUUGUUCACAUUCAUGAGGAGGUGAAACCACAUAUUGUGCACAGAGAUAUCAAAGCCAGCAAUAUACUUUUGGAGAAGAACUUUCAUCCAAGAAUUUCAGAUUUUGGGUUAUCAAAACUAUUUCCACAGAACAUUUCUCACAUUAGUACACGAGUGGCUGGAACAUUGUAAGUAGAAUAUAUUGUCCAAGGGCUGAAAUGCUAGAACUGGUUUCAAUAGAAAUUGCAUAUAUGAUUUGGUUUGUAUUGACAAUACUAAUGGUGCAAACUUCUUGUUGAUGACAAAGAGGUUAUUUGGCUCCGGAGUAUGCAAUCACUGGACAUUUAACGCGAAAAUCAGACGUAUACAGUUUCGGAGUGUUGAUUUUGCAAAUAGUCAGUGGACGAUCGAUAGUUGACUUUGAUAUGGAACUUGGAGAACACUAUCUUGUCGAAAAGGUAUGAUCUUAUAUAUAUGAUAAUUAUAUACAAAUUCUAUCAACUAUAAUGCUAGUGAUAUGCCACUACAACAAAAAUGGCCACUGCGCAUGAUGAAUUAUUUGUGCCCUUUGAGGCCAAAAAGCACCAACAAUUGUGCUCAUAGACCAAUAGCAACAAUGCAGCAACUAAAUUUGUAUCUGUGCCCUCUAUGGGCGUCACCAUUUGCCAAAGGGCACAAUAUGGUCUUUACUGCCCAAAAAGUUCAGCACAAAUAAGGGUUUUCUGUGCCUCUUUUCUGACACCCAUGUCAGAUGACUUUUUCGUUAGCACAAGUUUGUUAUUGUGCCCCAUAGGAUAAAUAUAUUUAAAAAAAAAAUCAAAUAGUAAUACCAUCAAUAAGAAAUUAUUCAUACAGAUAAUGAAAAUAAUUCCUAAUACAUUUUUUAUUCCAUGAAAAACUAUUAACUAAAUCUAAGAACCUAACAAAUACCAUUACUCUCGAGUUCCUCGCAUGCCAGACAACCCUUAACCACCGCAAACAACCUUCAGCUCCUGCUCCAGCCUCUGAAAAUGAACAUGAGUAAUAAAUCUAUCGAGUAGUAAAAGCAGCGAUGCUGAUGCAUUGCUAUUUUCUUUUCAAAGACUAUGUAGCAAAGUUUCGACAGAAACGCCAACCAAAAUACAUAAAUGUUUUUCAAUCAUUGCCUAAAUACACAUACCGUAAACUUUAACGAUUUCUUAUGUAAGAGAGUAGCUAAAUAGCAAGUUGUUAUACUAGUCCUAAUUAUAAUAGUAGAAAGAUAUACUCUUCGCAUCAUAAUGCAACAACCAGCCAAAUUGAGGAAAAGGUCAAAGAAUAAGUAAAAAAACAAAUAACCCGGCAAGGACAAGCUAAUAAAUAAGUUUUAUGAAAUCUAACCUGCUAAUAAUCAAGUAGUUUUCAGCUUUUGAUAAUGUCUUUCGUGCUUCCACUCGGUAGGGAACUAUACAACAAUAUGAAAAAUCAUUAUAAUUUAUCAAUCUAUUAUAAGUAGGAAGAGAGGAAAGGUAACUUAUCAAUUCUAAUACCAAAAAAAAAAAAAAAAAACAUGUAGUUACUCUCCAAUGGAAUAACCAGACAAGAGGAAUCACCAAUGGGAAAUAAUAAUGCACUUAGUGUAGCGUAUACAGAAAGAAUAAUCUUUUAAUCCAAUACAACAGAGGAGAAAACAUAUGCCCUUAAAAGAAUAACAUUUACCAGAAGGCGAAAACCUAACCUGUUCUGGGAUGGAAAAAUCUGAAUCUCAGCGUAGUCCCAAGGUGCACUAGCAUCAAUUUCCCCUCCAUUUUCAAUGCGCUUAAAACUGGACCCAAGCAGAGCAACCUGUAUGGGAAAAGAGGGAAACAAAGUUUAGGUAAAAAAAAUUCAGCAUUUGAAUAUACAGAUUUACAAAAAUUUAGCACUUAAACAAACUAAAAGCCUGCGAAUUCAGUGUAGUAGAUACACAUACAUACAUACAAACAUACAUAUACAUAUAAAUAUAAAUUCAAAGAUAAAGAAAAACCAAACAAUUUACAAGAGCAAAGAAAAUGAAAGGAUAAAGAAUGAAAGACAUACCUCUAUCAUCUGUGGGAGGACUCAUAUUUGCUUUAGGGGCCUUUCCACCACCUGCUUAAAGAUGAUUCUUAUAUAACAACUCCACCGUCUAAAACAACCAACAAUGGAAGUAGAAGAUUAAUAGGGGAAACUACAAGUACUCCUCAUAAAAAAUACAUUUACAAGUGUUCAAGAUAAAAAAACAAACAAAAUUUCUGAGAUUUUCCAUAAAGCAGUUCACACAACCAACAAGAGGGGAAACUACCACAUAUUUCCAGUGAUGUUCAAGGACCAAAAAACUUUCAAACAUUAAAAACUUAAAAAUGCAUUACCAGGUUGUUCAGUCCCAUAAGACUUUGCACAAGGUUACAUGGCUAGUUGGAUUCGUUAUAGAUAAAUAUUAUCAUCUUCAUUUUGAUUCCAGUAUUCAAGCACAAAGACUAGAGAAGUUUUUAUCCUUUAAGGUUAUGUAACAGACCAAAGAAAUUGACCAACUGGAAUUACCGCUAUUGACAGUAACCAUGGCAAAAACCUAUUGAAACCGACUGACAUAACCCUUAGCUUGAUGUUAGUAAAUAAAAGACCCACUCGGCUAACAGACUACAAUAUUCAUUAGAUACACAAUCAUUAUAUAGUCAUCAAAACAAAUAUAUUCAAAUUCAAAACCAUUCCCACAAUCAGUCGAAAAUGACACAAAAAAACAGAGUUAAUUAAAAUCAAUACCUAGAAGUUCCAGAUCUGCCAUGGAGUCAGGCUACCUCAACAUCUUUCAGAACCUGCAAAUUCAAAAUGUCUUAAUCAAAUAUAUAAAAAGAAAAAUCAGGUAAGCAAAUACAAUAGCUUUGAAAGUUAAUAUCAUAAUCCCAUGUUUGUUGCAGAAGCCCUUUGCAAGGUUUGUGCUUUCUUGUGCUUCUUUGGAUAAUGACGUAGAGAAGUUCUUGUCGGGGAAAUUUUAGUUGGAAGCUAGUUGGAAAUUAAUAGCAUCAUAUCAAGCAAUUUGACUAGAGCAUACAAAAGCUAGUUGGAAAUAAAAUUAACUAUAAAGGGAAGAUUAGGAGAAAAUUUGGAAGAGACUUGAACAAAUAAAUCAUUUGCCACUUCCAGUACCAUAGCAAUUUGACAACAACAUAUCAAAGUACUACCAGUGCCAGUUCAUUUGCUUUCUAAGGAACCCCCUUCUCUUUCUAGAUUGUAAGUUCAUCAAUACAUUAUACAUACUACUACCAGUACCAAUUCAUGCUUUAUUUCCUAAACUAAAUUACUCUACCAGUUCAACUUCCUUAAAUAAUCAUUGCCUACUGUACAAAUACGAAAAAUCACUCGUUGUACAAUCAACCUGAAUUGUACAAAUGCGUUCAUAGUGACAAGUCACAAAUAUGAACAAUCAACGAGAAAUAUGAACAAAUUUGAGCAAAAUGGAAUAACAGCCUUCCAAUUAAUUAUUGUGCCAUGAAAAAGUUGAAUAACAGCUUUCCAAAGCCAAAUAUACCAUUGGCUAAGACAUUAAUUAGUACAUAUACAACUCAAUAUUUGUUAAUUCAUAAAAAUAGCCAAUCACAUUCCAGUAUAAAUUCGAAGUGAUAGCAGGUCACUUUCCAUUCGAAGCAAAACUAGGUAUGUUUGAAUCUGAACCAGAUCAAAUCCCCUUUUGAUUAUAACCCAAAAGAGAAAAACGAUCAUUUCCCUUGUGUUUCAAACGAACCCUAACCCUAACCCUAAAAUUAAUCACAAAUUAUUAACUAAAUUAACCAAUACAAGUUCUAAAUUGUUACCAUUUUACCUGGAACGAAGUGGAGAGGAAGGAAUCGCAUUAUACAAGCACUAAACUGAAGGGGAACUGGGGAUGAGAUGAGAGUUGAGGCCGACUGAUUUGUAGAUUCCGUGUGAAGGAGAUGGAUUUGCAGAGUCUGUGAGAAUGUGUGAACUCGACUGAAGACUUGAGUUGAGACCCACCGAUUCGCAGUGUAUGAAAUUUGAAGGGAAAGGAUUUGCAAAUUAUGUUUCUACGUGAGAUGUGAACUCGACUUGAGAAUUGAGAUGAGAGGUGAGAGAGACAGAGAAAGCGAAAUAGAAAAUUUUGGGGAAAAUACAGAGAGAGCCUAGGGUUAAAGAGAGGCUCGGUUUGAUUGGGAAGGGGAGAGCCAGAGAGAGGAGAGGUGGAGGAAUUGAGGAGAGGCUGGGUUGAAAGGGGAAACACAAAGAGGCGGAAUGAAUGAAAUGAGGACAGAGUGAGGCGUGAAGAUUGAGGAAAAUGGUUUCUUAUUUUGUUUAAAACAUUAUUUUAAACAAAGGGCACAAAAAAUCUACUUUUACUUUAAAUAUAUUAAAUUAUAGGACACAAUUAUAUUUAUGGUGGCAUUGCAAAUUAAUAAAAAAUUUCCAUUGCUGACAUUAAAGGCACAAAAGUCAUGGCUAUGUGCCCAAUAAUGUAUUUGUGUCCACUUUUCUUAACAUUGCACACAAUUCAUAGUGCCCAUUGUGAAAUGAGCACUGUUCCACUUUAUUGGUGCUUAAACAAACACAAACACCUCAUUUGUGUCUCUAAUUUUGUGCCCAAAGGCCAUUUUUCUUGUAGUGUGCAUGACUUUUUAUACUUGGAAAUUAAUUUUGCAAUUUUAAAUUCUGUUUGUACCAUACUUGACCAAUCCCGAAACUACCGAGCACCGGCCAACGCUAUACUGUCAAGGACCCAGAAGAGUUCCCCUCCGACCAGGAGGCCAAUCACUACUCGACACGUGUCAAGAUUAGAAGCCAAUCAGAGCGCAGCACGUGUCAACAUCAAGAACCAAUCAUAACAUGACACAUGUCAAUGUGACAAAGCUACAAGUUUUUCUAUAAAUAGGGGUCAUUCCCCCACAAUAUUGCCUAAUGCCAUUUUGUGUGAAAUCAUUCACAAGAACUCACUAAAUUGAGAGCUUGAUCCUUUGUACUUGUGUAAGCCCUUCACUACUAAUAAGAACUCCUCUACUCCGUGGACGUAGCCAAUCUGGGUGAACCACGUACAUCCUGUGUUUGCUUCUCUGUCUCUAUUCAUUUACGUACUUAUCCUCACUAGUGACCGAAGCAACCAAGCGAAGGUCAUAAAACCUGACACUUUCUGUUGUACCAAAGUCUUCGCUGAUUUGUGCAUCAACAUUUGGCGCCGUCUGUGGGAAACGACACUUAUCCCUACUCUCUUCAGCUGUGUCAAGCUGGUUUCUAUCAUUCGUACACUUUCUUUUGAUCAGGCAUCCCUCUCCAACAUGGGAAGCGAAGGAAGCCACAGCACACAGAAUGACACCCCCCUUGCACAUAGUGCGAAACAACGAAAGAAGGAAGGAAAACGAGUUCUUCUUCAAGCUAAAGUCGAUGAGUUGGAAGCUCAGAACAACAAGAUAACAAUGAGGAAUGAGGUCCUCCAGGAGCAAUAUGAGAAGCUCUUCGAGACACUCCACGAAGCUAGGCAAGCUCAGACACGCGAGCUUGUUGCCCCCGUGGAAGUCAACCAUCAACUGGGUGCCCUCCAACAUGGAGGGUCACAUGCAUUCGACAUAGAUAUCCCUGAUAGGGAACAGAUUACCCCUCGACUUGAUAAUCAACAUGAGGCUUCUCUUAACCCAGUUGCUUCGACCCGAACCAUGAGAAGUGGAGGGAGACACCUCUUUGCUGAAGGGGCAGAAGGAUCGAAAGCCGUCUUUUCGCGAUUGUCGGGAUUUCCUGAAGCAACGUCGAGAGAAUUCCAUCCAUAUAAGCUCAAAGAUUAAUGACCCAAGGAUUUCUGAGAGACUCGGUCCCCUGCCACGGCCCAAGCCGGCCACCAAUUUGGGGAAUGGGCAACAAGUCCUAGAGAGACAUGAGGGUACAGGGGACUCAGAGGUGUUCCGACAGACAUACCCUGGAAGCCAGUACAGCGAGUCCAGGGAAAAAUCACAUGCCCUUGAUCAAACCUUCCUAAUUCCAAUAGGAGAUGGAGAUUUACGCAAGAAAGCUCCAGUGACACAUAACUCCGCUCAGGACCCCCUUGUCCUACAACUUCUUGAGGAAGUAAACAAGUUGAAGGCUGAACGUCAGGCUGAAAUACCUGACUGGAACCAACCCAGGCCUGGCCCUCUUACAAGGAGGAUCCUCAAUACCCCCCUUCAAGCAAAGACAAAGCAAAAGCUUGGCUUGCAACUUUAUACUGGAAAAGAGGACCCGAUUGAGCACCUUAACCUCUUUGAGUCCACCAUGGCAUACCGGAUGCACACCGACGAAGAGCGAUGUCUUCUCUUCCCCUCCACCCUCUCUAGUGGAGCUCUAAAUUGGUAUUGUCGUCUUACACCUGAGACGGUAGACUCAUUUGAGGAAUUGAGGAAAACUAUUUGUUUCCCAACACAUUUUCCAAACCGAUCGCUUGCACUCUGCAGAUGGACUUGUACACUAUCCGCCAGAAGCCAGACGAGUCAUUACGUAUGUAUGCUGGCCGCUUCAGCCAUGAAUACUCCCGGUGUGCCGAGGCAGACGACAAGACUGCCCUCAAAGCCUUCACGGCAGGCCUACGUGAUUGUUUCUUUAAAUACAUGAUCAAUGCCAAUACUUGGAAGACUUACUCUGAGGUGAUGGCGCAGGCUUAUAACCAUGCCUCCGCCGAGGCAAAGACAUAUCAGGAGAAACCCCCUACAACCAUCCUUUAUCAACAAGUGGGAGGUGGAAGCCAGACUCACCUAAAUGAGAAGACCUCGACUUUCCAAACAGCAGUGGCACCUCCCCAUGCCUUGCAUAAUGCUUCGCCGAAUCAACAGACAUAUCAAUUUCAAGGCAAGAAGAAGGAUUUCCAUCCUCACCACUCUCAUUUCAGUAAAAAGAGUAAGGGACACUAUCCCGAUAACCAAGGGUAUCGCCACAAUAACGCUCGCCCCCAGGCAGUCAAUGCAGUGGGUCAAACCCGCGUCAAGAUACCCCCUACCCCAAGGUAUGAGACAUACACGCCCUUGAAUGCCACAUGCGCGGCCAUUUUACCCCAGCAUAGCUCACCUGAUACCAAAGCCAAAGCCGAGGCACCCAGAUUACACGCCCCCGAAUAACGCGGGCAUGUUUUGUUGCUACCAUGAGCAUAACAGCCAUGAUAGCGAGAAAUGUAUCAUCCUCCGUGAUCGUAUUGAAGCUUUGGCACGAGAAGGAAAAAUUGAUCAAUUCCUCCUUCACCCUCAAAGGGAUAACCGUAACCAACGCCAGGUGAAUGUCAUAUAUUCCAUAAGCGGCGGCACACCCAUAUCUGAAUCUUCCAAUAGGGCCAUGAAAAACAGUGAACGAAUUCUGAGGCCUGGUCACCAAGUGUUUCACGUGGAAGACAUCAGGGGAGGGAAGUAUCAAAAGCCUAACUGGGAUCCGAUAUGUUUCUACCCUGAGGAAGAAAGAGGCAUCAUCUACCCUCAUAACGACUCAUUGAUCGUGGAGGCUCACAUAGCCAACUUUGAUGUUCGACGAAUCCUCGUAGACACAGGGGCUUCGGUCAAUAUCAUGUUUGCCGAAGCUUUCAGGGCACUCAGUGUAGCUGAACACUUGCUCGAUCGCUCGAUUUCUCCUCUGAUAAGCUUCUCCGGUGAUAUCGUGCAACCCUUAGGGAGCAUACAUUUACCCUUUACUAUUGGUACAGGCCCUUACACGGCUACCAUUACCACUAACUUCCUAGUGGUUGACUGCCCAACGGCAUACAAUGUCAUCUUUGGGCGCACAGGCAUCAAUGAUCUCAAGGCUAUGGUAUCCACGCAUAUGCUGUUGAUGAAAUUUCCAACCCCCCAUGGCAACGGCUACAUCAGAGGAGAUCAGCUUAGUGCACGAUCAUGUUACAACACUUCAGUUAAGCAACAACACUUGCCCGGACCCAAGGAAACCCUGUCUGUACAUGACCAAGUCACAAAGACCAGCCUAGAUGAAGCGAACUUGGAUCUUCCUGAUAGCAACAAUCAACCCGAUGAUCCUCGAGAUGACUCUUUCACCCAGCAAGCCCAACCUGCUGAAGAGUUGGAGAAGGUACCUAUCUCAAGAGAUUAUCCAGAUCGCAUGGUGAAGAUUGGCACCACAUUGUCACCACCCCUUCGGUUAGCAUUGAUAUCUUUUUUGAAAGAGAACACUGAAGUCUUCGCCUGGUCAUACGAGGACAUGCCAGGCAUCUCUCCCGAUGUCAUCUGUCAUCGUUUGAGUAUUGAUCCCAAGACCAAACCAGUAAAACAGAGGCGAAGAUCUUAUGAUGUUGAGCGAUACGAGGCGAUGAAAGCAGAAGUUGAAAAACUCAAGGACAUAGGCUUCGUCCGUGAAGUCAAUUACCCAACAUGGGUAGCAAAUGUUGUCCUUGUUAAGAAAAAUCCGACCAAGGAAAGUCUCCUGCUUCAAAAGGUCUUGUGGAGAAUGUGUGUCGACUACACCGACCUAAACAAAGGAUGCCCGAAGGAUAGUUUCCCUCUUCCUCUCAUUGAUAGACUUAUAGACUCUACGGCAGGGUGUGAGCUCUUGAGCUUCAUGGACGCUUAUUCAGGAUACAACCAAAUCCUCAUGAACCCCUCAGACCAAGAACAUACGGCUUUCACUACUGACAGGGGACUGUAUUGCUAUAAGGUCAUGCAUUUCGGCCUAAAGAAUGCAGGAGCAGCUUAUCAGAGACUGGUCAAUUCAAUGUUCGCCGAACAGAUUGGGAAGAGCAUGGAAGUUUACGUUGAUGAUAUGCUAGUCAAGAGCAAACAUGCUGACCAACACAUCACCAACCUAUCUGAAACUUUCACCAUUCUAAAGAGGUAUCGAAUGAGGUUGAACCCCAACAAAUGUGCCUUCGGCGUGGGCUCUGGCAAAUUCUUAGGCUUCAUGAUUAGCCAACGAGGCAUUGAAGCUAACCCUGAAAAGAUCAAAGCAAUCCUCGACAUGAAAGAGCCAAUAACUUCAAAAGACAUUCAAAGCCUUACUGGCAAGGUGGCAGCCUUAACCAGAUUCAUCUCUAAGGCCACAGACAGAUGUGCUCCUUUCUUCAAAGCACUCAAGGGAAAUAAGAAAUACAUUACAUGGACGGAGGAAUGUGCCAAGGCAUUCAGGAACCUCAAAGAGUACAUGAGUAAAGCCCCUCUGCUCUCCAAACCAGAAGUUGGUGACACUCUCAUCAUCUAUUUAUCAGUUUCGGCUUCAGCAGUCAGUUCUGUUCUUAUUCGAAUGGACAGUGGUGUCGAACGGCCCGUCUACUACGCUAGCAAGGCCCUACAAGAUGCGGAGACACGAUAUUCCAACAUUGAGAAAUUAGCUCUAGCAUUGGUCAUGUCUGCUCGGAAACUUCGCCCUUAUUUCCAAGCACACGCCAUCAUCGUGCUUACCAAUCACCCUCUUCGACAGAUACUCCAGAGUCCUGACACGUCUGGGCGAAUGAUCAAAUGGGCGAUAGCAUUGGGUGAGUUUGACAUCUCCUACCAACCAAAACCAGCCGAAAAAGGUCAAGCAGUAGCAGAUUUCAUCGCCGACUUCACAUAUCCUGUUGACAUUGCUUCUACACCUGAAGCAGUAGCUUCAUUACCAUCGGAAGCUCAGAAAGUAGAAUCAACGACCUCAGCAUGGAGUCUGUAUGUUGAUGGCUCAUCCAACCAACAGGGCUGUGGAGCGGGACUAGUCUUGACUACGCCCGACAAAGUAGCAAUGGAGUAUGCUCUUCGUUUCAAAUUCAAGGCAUCAAACAAUGAGGCCGAGUAUGAAGCCCUUCUAGCAGGAUUACGUUUGGCCAAACACCUCGGGGGUUAAACAAAUUGAUAUUUUCAGUGACUCCCAAUUAGUGGUCAACCAGGUUACCAACAACUUUGAUGCUAAGGACAGCUCCAUGGCAGCAUAUCUUGCGCAAACACAACUUUUGCUCAAGCACUUCCACUACCAGAUCACCCAAGUUCCUCGAGCGGCAAACAGUCAUGCAGACGCCCUGGCUCGCCUCGCCUCAGCUGUGGAAGACAAGAUUGGAAGAAAAAUUCAUGUCGAACUGUUGGCAACACCAAGCACCAUGGCCGCAGAAGUAUGCAACUUACAACAGGGGGAUAGUUGGAUCACCCCGAUCUAUAAUUUCCUUGCUCAUGGCACCCUCCCAAAUGAUAAAGUCCAGGCUAAGCAAAUUCGAUACAAGUCUACCCGCUACCCUGAUCAUCAAUGAUCAACUCUAUAAGCGAGGUUUUAGCCUGCCAUACUUAAGGUGUCUUACGCCUGCCGAGGCGGAAAUCGUCCUUCGGGAAAUACAUGAGGGAGUCUGUGGAGAUCAUGCUGGAUCUCGGUCCCUAGCACACAAGACUUUUCGCCAAGGAUAUUACUGGCCAACACUCCACCAGGAUGCCAUCAAAGUAUCCCGCUCAUGUGACAAAUGUCAACGAUAUGCAACUAUUCCUCAUUCCCCUCCAGAGCCUCUUACUCCUAUGAUCAGCCCUUGGCCCUUCGCCCAGUGGGGACUUGAUUUGAUCGGCCCAAUGCCGGCAGGGAAGGGCAAAGUCUGUUACGCAGUCGUUGCAGUGGACUACUUCACAAAGUGGGCUGAAGUAGAACCCUUGGCAACCAUUACUGAGGCAAAGAUAGAGGACUUCGUGUGGAAGAACAUCCUUUGUAGAUUCGGCAUUCCCAAUGCGAUAGUCACUGACAAUGGGCGACAGUUUGACAACAAGAAGUUCAGGUUGUUCUGCUCUAAGUUCAACAUCAACUUAUGCUUUGCCUCUCCAGCUCAUCCCCAGUCUAAUGGACAAGUUGAGGCCAUCAACAAAAUAAUCAAGCGCACUUUGAAAACCAGCUUGGACAAAGCUAAAGGCUGUUGGCCAGAAUUUGUACCCCAAGUUCUUUGGUCAUAUCGCACUUCAUAUCGGACUUCAACAGGAGAAACUCCAUUCUCACUUGCCUUUGGCACAGAGGCGGUUGUCCCUGUUGAGCUCGAGCAAGCAACAUUCCGAGUCCAGAACUACAUUCAAAGUGAAAAUGACAAACAACUCACCCUCAACUUGGAUUUAGUCGAGGAACACAGAAACCAAGCUCACUUGAGGAAUGUCGCCUACAAGCAGCGCAUCUCCAACUAUUAUGACUCUAGGGUCAAGCCUCGUUCUUUCAAAAUAGGAGACUGGGUCUUAAAGAAAAGAUUACUCUGCGACAGAGUCCCGAGUGAAGGCACACUUAGUCCAAACUGGGAUGGACCGUAUGAAGUCAUUGGCAUCAGUCGCCCUGGCUCUUACACACUUAGAAGCUCCGAUGGCAAGACCCUUGGCCAUCCAUGGAACGCUGAUCACUUGAAGUACUACUACAAAUAGACUCACGAUGUACAAGUGUUGAGCUAUAGCCGUUCGGCAUCCUAUGUAAUGAAGGCCAUUUGGCAAUGAAUUCAAUAAAGAGGUAAUUGAGCUAUAUCCGUCUUCCACAGUCACUACAAAACAAGCAAAUGAAGACCGUGUCAAGCGCCAAAAAAAAAAAAAAAAAAAAAAAAAAAAAACAGCUCCAUCCAAAAAGCUUCACCCGAAAAGCUUCACCUCCAAAGCUUCACCAUCAAAGCUUCACCUAAAAAGCUUCACCCAAAAAGCUUCACCCGAAAAGCUUCACCUCCAACGCUUCACCCACAAAGCUUCACCCACAAAGCUUCACUUAAAAAAGCUUCACCUACAAAGCUUCAUCUACAAAGCUUCAUCUACAAAGCUUCACCAUCAAAGCUUCACCUAAAAAGCUUCACCCAAAAAGCUUCACCCGAAAAGCUUCACCUCCAAAGCUUCACCCACAAAGCUUCACCUAAAAAGCUUCACCCAACAAGCUUCACCCGAAAAGCUUCACUUAAAAAAGCUUCACCUACAAAGCUUCACCUAAAAAAUCUUCACCUAGAAAGCUCCCUCUACAUACUUUCACCAUCAAAGCUUCACCAUCAAAGCUUCACCUAGAAAGCUUCAUCUACAAAGUUUCACCAUCAAAGCUUCACCUAGAAAGCUUCAUCUACAAAGCUUCAUCUACAAAGCUUCACCAUCAAAGCUUCACCUAGAAAGCUUCAACACCAAAGCUUCAACACAAAACCUUGCUCCAAAUAAACAAAUUUUGUUCACAAAACCCAAGAUGCCCUUGAACUUGUACAAAAACACUUGGGUAAACAUAAACAUUUUUUGUUUUACACCCACAAGGGCCCAAAAUUUUCCUUCUUAUUUAUUCACUUAUAUAUGUUCCCAAACAUAUUAUAAUAGAUCCAACAACAAGCCAAAGUCCCAAGUUUCAUAAUGGACAAAAGUACAAGCAAUUCAUCAAUAAUGAAGGUGCUACAAAACUUGGAAUCUGCCCCAAAAUAGAAAUCCAACCCAAGAGACUUUUUCUCUCUCUCCCUCUUCCGCCUCCUUUCAUCUAUCAAAUUUCUGCAACCUCUGCUCUUCUCCAAUGGAGCUGAAUUUUGGACACCCUAUAGUUCUUGAGCAUAUGAACAACUUUCAAGAAGGAACCAUUUCUGUUUGAGCGACGGAAAUUAAAGUGUUGAAGCUCCAAACAUGAUAGUCGGCUUCUUGCAGAUUUCGAAGCUGUUGUGAUGUUUCGAAGAUCUGGAAAUAUUUAACCGUUAGUUCAUCCUGAAUUUUUGAUAUGUUAUGAAAGAGUCGAUGAUGAACAACUUCAAUAAAGAAAGCAUACCGAUCUGAACAAGAGAAAAUGGAGUUUCGAAGCUCACAACAAAUCUGACGGUUUGACAGAAAAAUAAUAACCAGUCAUUCAUCAUACCUGAGUUUCUUGAGUUAUACAGCUCCGAGGGAUCUCAAAUUUGGAUAUGUUGUAGUUCACAAGCUGAGGAACAACUUCAAUGAAGAAAGCAUGCUGAUCUGAGCAAGAGAAAAUAGAGUUUCAAAGCUCACAACAAAUCUGACGGGUUGACAGACAAAUGAUAAACAGUCACUCAUCAUACCUGGAUUUCUGGAGUUGUACUGCUCCGAUGGCUCUCCAAUUUGGAUAUGUUGUAGUUAAGGAAUUAACGAACAACUUUCAUGAAGACAACUUUGUGAUUCGACCUACAGAUGAUGGUGUUAUGUUGAAAAACAAUUCCGGUUGUUAGGGGAAAUGAAAAACAAUUCCACCAAAGAAACAUCAUUAUGAUGUUUCAUCAUUAUGGUGUUUUCAUCAUUAUGAUGCUUUCAUCAUUGUGAUGCUUCCAUCAUUGUGAUGCUUUCCAUUAUGAUGUUAAUGCACCAACGGUUACACCUUCUGCAAUUCCACUUAUUCGGGCCUAGCAACCUUCAUAAACAAAAAUCUAUGAAGAAAAAGUCCGGGGCUACCACUUAGAAAACAAAAGAAUGAAGUUUUUGGUACUUACGACAUGGACUAUUAGCAAGACACCUCAUUCGUCAACUCCCUCGACUAGAGACUUGGGGGACUCCCACCAUAUGCUACUACGCCUUGGUACUCAAAAGUUCGUGACUACUCAGUGACUUGGAUUUUUCAAGUCUCCAACCGAGAAGUUUUCCUCACUCGGGAAAUUAAGGGAACACUACCUCAGACUACAUGCUUCACUCACAAAGCUUCAACAAUACAGGUUUCAACAAAAGCAAAAAUUCAAAGAACUUUAUGAAGAAGGCUUUGGUGUAUUUAACACAAUAUGUUGAAAUGAAGCAAAGCUUAUUUAUUAAUAUUUUCGAUAAGCCACAAAUAUGUACAUAUACAUGAGUCAAAAUAAACAAACAAAAGGGAGCCUUCACAAAGGUUGCUUAGGGGAAGUCUCAGCAGUCGGUAGAGCCCCAGAAAGAGAAAGCACCGGAGGGUGGUUAUCCGGAGCCUCAGUACUUGACAAAACCCCAGAAGGAGGAGGCAUUGGAGGUUCAUCAUUUGAAGCUUCAUUACCAGGUACAGCCCCAGAGGACGAAGGCAAUAAAUGCCUUUGGAACAAACCCACAAACCGCUGAUGAUCAAGUAAAACCUUACCAUCAGAUUCCUUCAUCUGGUCAAGCUUCCUCUUCAUGUUUGUAGCAUAGUCAUGGGCGAGCCGGUGCAACUGCUUAUUCUCAUGCUUGAGCCCUCUAAUCUCCUGUUUGAGACUCAUCACUUCAGCAGCCAAUGAUUCAACUUGGCGGGUUCUAGCAAAUAGGCGUUGGGCCAUAUUAGACACAGAACCUGCACACUGAACACUAAGAGCCAGAGAGUCCUUAACAGCCAACUCAUCAGACCGUUUGGAAAGUAGUCUGUUAUCUUUGGGAGUGAGAAGGUUCCUGGCCACCACUGCAGCGGUCAUAUCAUUCUUCAUCACAGAAUCCCCAACGGUAAGAGGACCAGUAGGGGAUAUGAAGGAUGGGCGCCAUAUGUUGUCUGGAGAAGGCGUGGCUGUCUCUUCUCCAAGGUUCAAGUCAAAACGACGGUCGGAGGGUCCAGACAUUUUCAAAUGUGUUGAAGAAGGAAGAGGUCAGACAAAUCAAGAUCUUAGAAGUGCAAGAAAUGAGCUUCUACUGGUAGAGAUUCAAGUGUGCUGUGGAACUUAAUGUCAGCCUCUAUAAAAAUCUGCACUCGACGGAGCUUCAGAAAUCGAAGAGGCGUUUGCUUUCUCAAAAGCUGGGCUGCUCAGAGACCACGAGAGGGCCGAUCUCAGAAAUCGAAGAGGCGUUUGCUUUCUCAAAAGAUGGGCUGCUCAGAGACCACGAGGGCUGAUCUCAGAAAUCGAAGAAGCACCUGCUUUUUCAGCCUCGUCAGCACCUGUCACAUGCACACUCAGCUUUGCGGAAAUUACGGGCAAUCUGUCGAAGAUUUCUGGUGAAGUAGAAAGCACGUGAAUCUUACUGUUCAAUCACCGCUCUCCAUAUGCACCAUCAACACCUCGGUACCACAUAUAACUUUGUCAAAGAUCUCUGACAAAGUUUAGGCACGAGAAUUUCGAAGUUCCAGCUACCCUACUAUUACCCAUAAGGGUAAAGGAACAGCACCACUGCUUGACAACUGGAAAGUCCCUAUGUGUGUCGACCUCCGUGUUUUGCGGCAAGACAGGUUGGCAAGAACGUCCAACCUUUACUCACAUUCGAGAAAAAGACUCCCAACAUAAUUACUUUCUCAAAAACCGGAGUAGCACCGCUUUCCAAAUCUCGAGAGUCAGAUCCUCGACGGGAUUGCUUGUUCGAAAACCGAAGAGGCACAACUCUCAGAACUUCGAGAGCCAGAAUUCCUUAGAUAAAGCUUGUCUGUAAUCUUCACACGUAACAUCAGCUUUCCAGAUACCACAUACCACUUUUUCAAAGUGCUCUGACAAAAUUAAAACACGUGAAGCUGGCAGCUCCCACUACAUUGAUGUGACCAAGAAGGGUAAAAGAAUAGCAUUACUACUUGUUAUUGGGAAAUCCCUAUAUAUACAUUGACCUCCCUCCUCAACGGACAGGCAAACCUGCAAAAAUGCUCAACCCUUUCUCGCAUUCGAAGAGGCACCCUCAACAUAACCUCUCGAAAUACUCAGCUUUAUUUCCCCCCGAUAAUACCUCAGCAAAUAAGCCACACCAAGAACAAGAGUAUCUCAUAUCAUCAGGGUCGAAAGCAAGAGUAUCACAUAUCAUGCUUUCUCCCUGUCUUUGUCUUUGUCCUUGUCCACACCUGCAGGACAAGGAGAAAGAGAGCAGUCAGUCGGAACCUGAAAUCAAAACCUCCAAUUUGGAACUGACUGCCUGGAGCCUUUGCCUGGUUGCUUACUUAGCAUUGCUCUCGAGUACUCAUCCUCAACUGCUGUCAAGGUCACGAAUUCCACCGGCAAAUACCUCAUGACAGUUGAUCAGAUAUUGGCUCUUUACACUGAAGCUGCCAAGCGUGGAUGAGUCACUAUGAAGGAAUGUUCUGAAGGACCAUUUAAAUGCAAAGGUUGCACACCACUUCUGCCAUGCAAAAGAUUGAAGCAGAAGGUUCAACGGUGAGCUGAAACAGAUCACUACAGCACGACACCUUUCCAUACCACAAUUCAUUAUUCCGUCAACAGCAAAAGUAUCCCAUAUCAUCAAGGUCGAACGUACUCUAGAUUUGAUGGACUUGUUUUGACCCUCAAAUUUUUGAAUCGGCCUUAUACUCUGAAGGGCACCAGAAAACCCUCCAGCACAGUUCAAGAAUAAGCCUGUGGAAAGUUACUUCUUCAAAAGCAAAAGUAUCUCAUAUCAUCUCUUAUCCAUUUGCUUCUCCUUAUCCUGGCAGUUGAAUGAGAGACAAGGAGAAUGAGAACAAUCAACCGGAAGCCGACGUCAAACCUCUGAUCCUGGGUUGCUUACUUGGAAGUUUGACUGCUUACCUUGUCUGUCACCCUCUUUCGGCAGAUCUCCUAGCUCGGCGACUUGGGGGACUCCUACUAUAGGGUUCGUAUCACACUUGACUAAGCCCGAAACUACAACUAAGCUUCAAGUGAAAUUGAUACAUUACCUUGUGCGUCAACAUCAGCUAAGUACACCAUUCCCGGAUGGAGGAAAGGUACUUCCAGAGAAGGGCAGAUGAAGAUCAGACCACACUUCGGUACUUAGAAGUUUCGUGAUUACUCAAGGGAUUGGAUCUUGCAAGUCCCCAACCGAGGAGUUUCCCUCACUCGGGAACUUAGGGGAGCACUGUUUGUACCAUACUUGACCAAUCCCGAAACUACCGAGCACCGGCCAACGCUAUACUGUCAAGGACCCAGAAGAGUUCCCCUCCGACCAGGAGGCCAAUCACUACUCGACACGUGUCAAGAUUAGAAGCCAAUCAGAGCGCAGCACGUGUCAACAUCAAGAACCAAUCAUAACAUGACACAUGUCAAUGUGACAAAGCUACAAGUUUUUCUAUAAAUAGGGGUCAUUCCCCCACAAUAUUGCCUAAUGCCAUUUUGUGUGAAAUCAUUCACAAGAACUCACUAAAUUGAGAGCUUGAUCCUUUGUACUUGUGUAAGCCCUUCACUACUAAUAAGAACUCCUCUACUCCGUGGACGUAGCCAAUCUGGGUGAACCACGUACAUCCUGUGUUUGCUUCUCUGUCUCUAUUCAUUUACGUACUUAUCCUCACUAGUGACCGAAGCAACCAAGCGAAGGUCAUAAAACCUGACACUUUCUGUUGUACCAAAGUCUUCGCUGAUUUUGUGCAUCAACAAAUUCUUUACACAUUAUCCAGGAUUUAUCAUAAAACCUUGUAUCGAUGAAUGGAUUGAGUAGACCAAGAGUAGUUUUGUAAAGAAAAUUAAAUCCUCACCCAUUUCAUGGAGAGAUUUUUCAGUGUGACUGGUAUACGGGGUGGUACACCACGUGUCAUUAAAUAAAUGGUAGGAUAUGUGUGCUAAAAAGUUAAUAACAUAAAAAAAUAAAAUUUCCCACCAUUCCUAUUAAAACACGUGGUAUACUAUUUGUAUUCCCGUCACAAUUAAAAAUUUCCCCACUUCAUGAAAUAAUUGGUACACCAUUCUGAAAGGUCUUCUUCGCACCAGUAGCCCAAGGGUCCAACGCUUAUUUAAAAUGAUUAUGCAUAAAUAAGCUUUAAAACACUUAUUCUAGAACCGAACCUUGAUUUAUAUAUAUAUGUGAGACUUUUGAUGCAGUCCCUAUCUAUUAAUAUUCUUUUACUGAAACCUUGUUGGUUUUCAAUUUUUGAUCUAAGUCCCUGAAAUUAAUAUGAUAAUUUAUUUCUAUUUAUGUUACUAUAUUUUUUUAAUUAAAAAUUAAAAUUUAUAGUUGUUUAUGUUAAUGAGAUUUUAAAUAAAAACCCAUAAUUUGUGGGAUUAAAAAUAUUAAAAUAUAAGUUAUACUAUUGUGUGUGUGUGUGUGUGUAAACAUGGGUACAUUCAUCAAAAUUAACAAAAAAAUUAUUGUACCAAAACAUGGGUACAUUCUUCAAAACUAUUAAAAAAAAAAUAAAAUAAAAUAAAGAUACUAGGCUUAAUAACAUUAGUAAAUUUCUUCGAUAAAACUUGACAUGAAUACAUUCUCAAAUAAAAGAAAAAGAAUGUACCCAUAUAAGUUUAAAAAUGGUACAUUUUACAUAUAACAAAUUGGUAUAUUUAAGAAUGGGUACAUUUUAAGAUUAAAAAUUUGAAAACAUUUUUUAUAAAGCUAAUGGGUACAAACUUAUUCUAAUUUUUUAUUUAUUUUGGAAAUGUUUUGGAUUAAAAAUUAUUUAGGAGUUUAAUAAACGUGUGAAUAUUAAAAUCCUAAAUCAAUUAUUAAUUUUUAUUUUAAAAAAUUAUGUAACUGACAUGUAAAUUCAUUAUUACAUUAAUGCUAAGGACUUGGAUAAAAAUCUGAAAACUAAUAAGGUUUCAGUCAAUAAACAUUAGUAACUAAGAACCGGAUACUAAUUUUUCCCUUAUAUAUUGUGCAUAAGUCAAUGUUUUUAACUAUUUGAGUUACGUACAAGACCUUAAUGUAUAACAAAUUGGCUAAUGCUAGGAAGAUUAAAUUUUUAAACCAAAUUUUAUAAACCAAAUGAUGUGGAUGUUAAUUAUUGGAUUAUUACUUAAAUGUUGAUUAACGUGUUUAUUUCUUAUUUGUGACACAUCAUUUGAUUUACAAAUUUAGAUUUCUUAUUUGUGACACAUCAUUUGAUUUACAAAUUUAGCUUAAUUUUUUUAUUUCCCUAACAUUAUUCAUAUAAUUAACUCUAGUCACCCGACAAGAAAGUUACACACACACACACACACACACACAUAUAUAUAUAUGUAUGUAUGUGUGUAUAGAUGCAUGCAUGUGAUAAAUUGGUUUGGUAAGCACAUUUCAAAUCACAAAUUAAUAAGUACACGUAAUACCCAAAAAAGAAACUGGCAUCAAAUUUGGAUCCUAAUUAACCUAUAUGAAAUAUUACCAAACCUGAAUUAAUAGUGAGACUGCAUGGACCUGAUGGUGAUGCAUGCAGGCAUGGGAAAUGUACAAGGGAAAGAAGCUUGUAGAUCUAGUGGACUCUUCUCUCGAACUUGACGGAAACAUUUCAGAAAAAGAAGCCGUCCAAUUCCUAAAGGUGGGUCUGCUUUGUGUACAAGAAAAAUCCAGCCUCCGACCCCGCAUGUCUACCGCCAUUAAGCUGAUGACGAUGAAUGAGAUCAACGUUAAUAACGUGGAGAUAGGCGAGCCAGGAGUCAUUACUGAUAAUAUGGACCUCAAAAUAGCCCAAAGGGCUGAGAGAAGCUCACCGCUUAGCAUCAAAGCCAGCAUGCAAAGCCCCCAAAUCUAUCUUUAUUACAAAAAAAAUUAGAAAUUUGAAUUAACUGUAGGCUUAAGCGCUUAAAGGCUUGUUUGAUAAUCAUUUUAUUUUGUAUUUUGAUGCCUAAGAUAUGAAGAUGCGGAUGAUGGAAAAGAGAAAGAAAUAACGAUGAAUGAAUGAAAACAAAAUUUUUGAACAUAAAAACAAGUUAAAAUAACUUUUUAUUUUUAUUCUUUAGUUUUCAUUUUUGUAUGUCGAACUUUCUUUAUACAUUUCUUUUAAACUCAUCCCACCAUUUUUCUCCACUAUUACAUUUUUCCCUUGUAAUGUGCUGUAUAGAUCGUUACAAGCCUAGCAACGACUACUUGUGGUGCAGUUGCAUAUACAGGCACGAAGAAUCUAACAGAAUAUAAUCUCCCAUUUGUAACAUGAUGUAAUAGGGUUUUUGCAGAGCCAUCCAAUCAAUAAGUUCACAGAGAGAGAGAGAGAGAGAGAGAGAGAGAGAGAGAUAUCAAAGCUUUUUCUCUCCACUCUUCUCUCUAUAUCUCAUUUAAUAAGCACGAAUUGUUUAAUUUUGUUAAUGUUUAUAUUAUAUAGAUUUUGAAUUUAUGCCACACUCGAUUAAAAAAAUGACACACAAGCAGGCUAAUUUUCAGUGAUCCAAAUUUAUAAUCGGAUAAUAUAAACGCGUAUAGAUAUUGAGAGACAAUAUCAAUCUAAGAGAACAUGUAAUCUUAUAUGGAUAUGUGUUGUUGGGGGCCAUAUAUAUAUGUCUUGUUUCUCAAUUGCCGUGAAAAAAAAAAUGACCAGUUCAUAAAAAUAUAGGGUUUUGCUGGUUUAUGGGCAUGAUCAUGAACCUUGAUAUAAAUUUAGACUAAUUAUAAAAUGCUCACCCGUAAUCUAGCAAAUAAAGCACAUUACAUAGUCUGCUUUAGGGAUUGGCGACUAAUUACCCAUUCAGUGACUUUGGCAUUGGACAAUCUAAAAAUGGGUACUAUCAAGUCUAGUGAAUUAAAUUCAAUAAUAUAUGCCUGUUGACGUUCCAACCUUUCUUCUCCUUUCAGGGCCUAUCCGAAAAAAGAAUCCAGUACUUCUUGGAUUCUCUUUCAUACCAAUGCAAUUGAUUGGAGUUUGGUCACUAAUUCCAUAAAAAGAUCAUUCAUUGACCCCCAAGAAAGAAAAAAAGAGCAAAACUGUGAUAAAUCCGAAGUUAGUGUAUAGUUGUCCUCCACUGAGAUGAGUUGACUAGUGGUUCCCUCUCCGAAGUAGUGUAAAUUGUUUUUGCCUCGCCUUGCGAGUACUGUGGACCUGUGGUCGCGAUGUUGUGAUGGCCGAAUUGGUCUUCGCCUUUGGAUUAUGAGUUAUGUACAUCUUGCUCUACUGCAAUGAUUUUAUGUGAUCCCGUUCUUCAGCGAUAAUCGAUGUCGUUGUCAGUAUAACUCUGUUGCGUCUAUUGUUAAUUGUGACCGACAAUAUUGGUGACAAUUGUGCGCUUGGGGAUUGUGUGUUUGUGUUUGUUGCAGUCUUUUAGGGGUUUACUCUUGUUUGUUUAAUUGUACAAAUUCACUUCAGAUCAAACUAUUGGUCACCAGAACAAUAUACCAAAUGACACUAAUUAAUGGAAUACCACCCUAUGGUUCCUGUAAAAAAAAAGUUGGGAAAGAAUCUUAUUCCUGAGUUCGAGUGUACAAUGUCUACACAUAUACAACCCAGAAGGUAGCUAUGUAGGUCCCCACUAGCCAGUGCAUGAUGAAGAUAUUUCAGUGUGUUUGGAACACGAGGUGAUACAACACGUGUCAUUAUACAAGUGGUGAGAUACUUCUGUUAAAAAAUUAGCAACUUUAAAAAUAAAACUUCUCUCAAAUUAUAUAAUGACAUGUGGUGUACCAUGCAUCUGUAUUUCGGGCACAAUGAAAUUUUUUUUCUACAUGAUGUACAUACCUACAUCUAUAUCAUUAUUCCUAGAUUCAUAAUAAUAUAUAAGUAUACUUUUACAAUUUUAUUUUCACAAUUUAAGCUAAUUAAGACGUUGUGCCUCUAGGCUGGCCAAUCCCAGGAGAAUGUUGGUUGUGUGUAUGGCAACGGCAUGCAUGCACUUAAAUUGAAAAUUUAAAUAUAUGGGAAUCCAAUUUCCAAAAAUCCCCAGUAAUUGGUUUUGGUUUUGCGUUUCCCAGGAGGGAAGCUCAUCAAGGUGGUCCAUCUCUUUGCCUGACGAAAUGUCCUUUUUCUUCUUGACCUGCUUUGACCGUAUGCUAUAUAUUCCCUGCUAGCCAAUUGGUGAAAAGAUAUAUAAAAUAUAUAUUCACAGAGAGACAGAGAGAGAGAGAGAGAGAGAGAGAGAGAGAGAGAAGGGGAGGGAGAGAGAGGUGGUCCAGUCUUUUUUGUGCUUGUAGUAUGUAUGUAUGUAUGAGAUUCCUAAUAGCAUGAUGAUAAUCCUCUCUGCUGCAAAAAAACACUUUUGCUUUUCCUGGAAUCCAUACAUACAUACUUUUCUUCUUCAAGCCCUCGCCAGUCGUACGUUUGUUUGUGUCAUGUGUGACUCUUAAUUUGCGUUUACAACUUUAGAGAGAGAGAGAGAGAGAGAGAGAGAGAGAUUAGCUAGACCUAGAUACAUACAACGCAGAUGAGCUUAAACUUAAAUUCUUUUCUUUUCUCUUCUCUAUACGUUCGUUCGUUGUAUAGCACAGAUGGGAAGAUGUGCUCACUGAUCCACUAGUUAGCUGUGCGCAUGCUGCACGACAAGGAAUAUUAUUAUUGUGAUCAUAUGUCUGGGAAUUAGGAAAAUCUUAUCUAUAUAAUCAAAAAAUCUAAAAUUACUCCAUAUUAUUGAAUGGCUAAUGUUAGCAUUUUCUUUAGUGAAUGCUGCCCUACUUAGAGCCUUUAAAUCCAAUAACUCUCAAAGAAAAUUUAUCACAUCUCUAUUUAAUAUAUAUUUUUAGUAGAGAAGUAUGUCAGAUUAACCUCCUUGUCCGGGUCUAAAAUGUGUGUAGCGCCAUCCCUCUUUCGAAGGAAAAGGGACUAUUGAUCAGGCAAAGCUUUUUUAAUAUUUUGGUUUCUUUUACCUUUUUAUUCUUUUUUUUUUUUUUGGGGUUUCUUUAAUCUGAACUCAUUUGAUAUUGUGGUCUCAAAACUCAAAGAUCUGAAAUCUCUCGUUGUCCUGAAAAUCUUGUUUUUUCUUUGUCGAGAAAGAAAAAUGAUAAUGGACAAUGUCAUGCAAUCUAAUCGCCAAGACCAUAACUUAAUUUAGUAAACCCUAAAUUUGAAUUAGAUUUAUAAAUCUAAAUUAAAAUGUAAUUUGUCCGAAUGGUUAGACAAACCAUAUGAUCUAUUCAACAAUAGAUAACUAGAUUGGAUUAAUGGGACUUAUCUGCACGAUUAAUUAAAAAAAAGAGUUUCUUAUUGUUUAAAGAAUGUUUAAGCUUUGAAAUUACAUAAUAAUCAUCUAAUACUUCAUGGAUCUCUUGUGAUAACAAAACUUAAGCGAAUUAAAAGACAAAACACAGAGAAAACAAAUAAAAAAAACAAAUUAUAUAGCUCCCUUGAGUUUAUUAACCAGAGAGGUCAUGAGAAAUGUCCAUGAGACAAGCGUGGAACAAGAUGGAUGGAUUUUGGUGUCAUGUGUCACGGCUCAUGAGAGUAAUCUGAUCUGAUCUGAUGGGCAACAUUGAAAGUAAGUUGUAACUUCCAUGUUGUGUCAGGUUUCGACCUUCUUUUUAACCAGAACCAGCUUCUAAUUUUACCGUAAUUUGGGCCAAAGCUUUUGCCACAGUUUGUUGGUUUCCAGUGCCCCUCGUUACAUGUGUAUGGUGAAAUGAUUAAAGUCUCAUGGAAAAUACAUGUGACAACCAGUAAAAUGACAAAUCUAUAUUUCAGAAAAGCAAAAUAAUUCUCUCUGCAAAAGUAGAAGCAUCUCAUCUCAUCACAUCCAUGGUGAAAAAAACCCUAAACCAUCCACAUGAAGGAGAAGAACGAGAGAAAGAAGAAGAUAAAGUACCUUUUCUGAUCAGAAACAUCUGCCUCCAUACUUUCUAAAUUACGGUGCUGCCCCUGUGGAAUAAUAUUACAAAUACUCCAACAUGACCAUAACAUCCCUAUCUAGCUAGUUCUAGCUAAAAUCCUUGAAAUGAAAAUAAAACAUUACACAAAAGCUUUGAAACUAUCUGCAAAAUUAAUGAGGAAGAAGAAAUAGAACAAGAUGAAGAGACACAGCCAUGGACAUGGGUUUUAUAUGCAUGGCUCCUCAUACGCCAUCCACGGAGGCCAUCGAUGUUCGGUGGAACUCUGCAAAUGGCAUACAGGGAGCCAGGCACAUAUAUAUAUACAUGUAUAUGUAUGUAUGCGUGAAUCACUCUAGCUAGUUACAUAUAUACGACUAAUUAACAAACCUACAUGGAUCAAUUGAUGAGGUAUAUAUGUUCUUACAUAUUUACCAGCUAGGGUUUGUAGAAAAUAUUCAACCCUAAACCUAAUCUAAUGCUAACCCAACAUCCUAAUACUCUCCAUGAAUAUGAGCAGGUAUGCAUGCGUAUGCUAUAAAAAUGAGUGUUUUUUUUUCUUUUUUGUAACAUGGGUUUUUGAGGGAGAGCAAAUUAUGCAUGGAUUUGGAAUGAAUAAGAUUUUGUAGGUAAAGCUAGACCGGGGAAGCUUUGCCAUGGCUAUAGAGGGUAAGACAAGGAGAGGCUGCAGUAGUGGGGGGAGAGAGAGAGAGAGAGAGAGAGAGAGAGAGAGAGAGAGAGAGAGAGAAAGACAGAGAGAGGCUUAUAUUUAGGAGAGAGAGAAGGGGGGAGAGCGAAAAAUGGGAUAAUGAUGGGAACUGGGUCAUAAUCAAAAUGGAGUUUCAAAGCCCCACAGGCAUAGAGGAAGACCCAUUUGAAUUGGUAUAAAACAAGCAAACCAGAGGGCUAAACUUGGGUAUUUAAAGGGGUAGAGCCUAAUAUUUUGUGGGUUUUUUUUUUUUUUUCUUUUCUUGUGUAUGGGAUUUUCAGAGUGAAAGGAGGAAGAAUGUGGGGUUGGAGUUGCACCCCCAUCUAUUGCCCUCUAAAUAUAGGCACCAAGCCAACCAGGAGAGAGAAACGAAGGAGUGAGACCAAGAGAGAGAGCAAAUAGGGUUCGUCUGUGGUUUGGGUUAAUAACCACGCAAUUUCCUAAGCUAGGCCUUACGGUGUUUGAAAUCUCCUUUUCUGGGUCGUAAAGCAAACUUUGCUUUUCUCUUCUCUGAAGCUCACUUUGUCUGGGAGUGCUUGGAAGACUUGGAUUCCUUCAUCCGUCUCCUUACUUUCAUUUCCUUUUUAAAUAAAAAUAUAUAAAGUGACCUAAAAGAGAAAAGGGAGAAAAUACCAUAAUUUUAUCAUCUUUUUCUUUUUGCACCAUCACUUCCUCUUUAAUCUUUAUAUCUUUCUUUUUCCUUUUUCCAUACCCUUCACACAUAUUUUAUUACUAAAAUUCAUUAUAAUUACUAUUUUGCUUCACCAACAGAGAUUUGUGCUUAACCCGCUUUUUGUUUAGAUUUUAAAUUUAGAAUAAUCUAUGACACGUUGCUGGCUUUACCUAAUAUCCCACCUUUACUUCUCUGUCCAUACAGGUUGCAUCCCAUAGUCAAGAACAAAACUGGGCUAAAGGUUUUGAAGUACUCCUCAAAAGUAGUUUGUAGCCGGUUUGCAAAUUUCAUGUUUAUAAAUUUGAAAUUAUUCAUAUUUAUAAGUUAUUAUGUAAAGAGUAUUUCUAUAAAAAUAUAAGAUCGUUUAGUCAUUAAAUUGUAUAAAAACAGAUGGUCGAAAUCGGUAAAAUUAUGACAAACGGUCUAUUCAUUUGCUACAAACUAAGCAUGAAAUUUGCUCAAUCAAGCACGAAAUUUGCUCAAUCGACCACAAACUAUUUUGAUAAGAAGUUGCUCCACAAUCUUUGUGGAGCCAAGUAAUGCUAGCUCCACUUAGAAUUACCCUUUUAAUAUUACUCAUUUAUAAUAUAAUGUACAUGUUAUAGAUAUUAGUAUAAUAUGAAGUGCUUGUAGACAUGAAUCUGAGAAAAUUGCGUCUGAUUUUAAGUCGAACGCUUGUAUACCGAGUGUAGAACUAGAUCGAUUUGUUUCUUUUCUACGCCUAAGAACUUCCAAACUCUUAUCUUUGAGGCUAUCGUUUCAACAACAACAACAACAAAGCCUUUUCCCACUAAGUGGGGUCGGCUAUAUGAAUCCUAGAACGCCAUUGCGCUCGGUUUUGUGUCAUGUCCUCCGUUAGAUCCAAGUACUCUAAGUCUUUUCUUAGAGUCUCUUCCAAAGUUUUCCUAGGUCUUCCUCUACCCCUUUGGCCCUGAACCUCUGUCCCGUAGUCACAUCUUCGAACCGGAGCGUCAGUCGGCCUUCUUUGCACAUGUCCAAAUCAUCGGAGCCGAUUUUCUCUCAUCUUUCCUACAAUUUCGGCUACUCCUACUUUACCUCGGAUAUCCUCAUUCCCAAUCUUAUCCUUUCUCGUGUGCCCACACAUCCCACGAAGCAUCCUCAUCUCCGCUACACCCAUUUUGUGUACGUGUUGAUGCUUCACCGCCCAACAUUCUGUGCCAUACAACAUCGCUGGCCUUAUUGCCGUCCUAUAAAAUUUUCCCUUGAGUUUCAGUGGCCUACGACGGUCACACAACACGCCGGAUGCACUCUUACACUUCAUCCAUCCAGCUCGUAUUCUAUGGUUGAGAUCUCCAUCUAAUUCUCCGUUCUCUUGCAAGAUAGAUCCUAGGUAGCGAAAACGGUCGCUUUUUGUGAUCUUCGCUAGAUUGCUCCGGUCAUUAGUGUGGAUAAGUAUAUAAAUGGAUAGAGAUAGCGAAAACGGUCGCUUUUUG
rnacentral:lncRNA from 1 species